rnacentral:lncRNA from 1 species
AAUAAAAAGAAAAAAAAACCCUCUUAGGUUUCAGCCCUUGUUUAUCUUGAUUAAUGUCUGAAUUUUCGUCCGUUUUUUAUAAUUUCCACGUUUCUGUGAUCGUUGCUUCAUGUUCUUCAAAGCCCAUGUCUGAAUUUCUAUUUCUGUUAAAGAUUUCAUGAAAUGACAUUGUUGAUAUCAUGAGCUUUGUGAUGUUUUUGGAUGAAUUAUGAAGGCUUGGUAAAUGAUUAUCAUGUUUUAUCUUUGGAUUUUUGAUGAAAUAGGGAUAAUUGGGCUAAUUUGUGAAAAUGAGGUUUUGAAGGACUAAAUUGUGAAUUAAAUAUGUUACUUGGGCUCGUAUAGAAGCCAUGUAUAUUCGGCCAAGCUAUAGUCUUGGUGAAUUUUGCAUAUUGGUGAUUUUGUGAAAAAUGGACUAAAUUGUCAAAGUGUGAAAAUGUAAGGGCUAAAAUGUAAAGUGCCCUAAAUAUGUGUAUAUGGAUUAAAUUGAAUGAAAUGAAUGGUUGAAUGGUUGAAUUUUUAUUGUAUUAGAUCAAGAACAAAGAAAAUCGGACUUAGAUCGGGGGAAGUCCAAAAUAGUUGAAUAGACGAUUCUUUUUAUCCGAAAUCCGUUCGAGGUAAGUCAAAUUACAAUUACAUGUUAAUUGAAAUAAAUUCUGCACAUAUAAACUGUAAUCUGUAUUGGAUGGCCUUGAGUGCUGGAUAAAUAUAUUUGUAGUAAAGUAUGAUAAUAUGUUAGUAUCUGAAAAGCUCUGUAUGUUUCUAAGAAAAGUUGACAUCUGUCUGAGACAUCGUGUAAGACCGUGUUUGGGACACAAGCCUCAAUUGAGAUUUACGUAUAAGUCCAUGUCUGGGACAUCAUGUAAUGGCCUAAAUUUAAAGUUAUUGGAACAGUGGUUCCGUAACCACAAAUCCGAUUUAAAGAGAAAUUUAUUUCAAUAUUUUGCAUGAAAAUUGAUAUGAUAGGAAAAUCGUAUGAAAAUAUUAAUAGAAAAAUUUUACCGAUUUAGUGGUUAGUUAGAAAAAGAAAUUAUUGAAAAAAUUGGGUAAAAAUAAGGUAUCGGGACCUCUAUCUCGUAAAACCGAGUCAAAAAUAAUUUUAUAAAUAUUUAUGAAAUGUUAGUAAUGUGGUAUUAAAAUUUCAUUAGGAAAUUUUAAUGUUUAGGUAGUCAAUUAAAUGAAAAGGACUAAAUUGUAAUAGGUGUAAAAGUUGCUAGAAUAAUUAAAUAGCUUAAGAGCCUAAUGAGAAAGGAUUUGAAAGGAAAUUAGACCGAAAAUUUAUUUGGGCUGGACGGCAAGGGCAUGAAAUCAACAGGAAAAUUGAUAAAUUAAGGGCAAAAUUGGAAUAUUGCAAAAUUAACUAAAUAAAACUAGGACUAAAUAGGAAAUAUCUAGAUUUCUCUUCAUUUCUCUUCAAUUCUAGCAGCUAAAAACACCUUAGGAGGGUUAUCUAAACUGUUAUUUCAUAAUUUUUGCACCAAAUCCAGAAGAUUCAAAUACGAAGCUUGAUCGAGGAACGGAAAAAGUUCGGGAUUAGUAGAUUUUUUUUUACAAGCAAGUAUCAAGGUAAGUUUGUGUAACUUGAAUUAUAUUCUUAAAUGCUUGAGAUUGUAUGUUAUUGAUGUGAAUAUGAUUUGAAUGUUCAUUGUAUGAAAAUUAAUGAAACAUUGAUAUAUUUGAUAAAAUGGGAAGAAAUAUCGGUUGAAUGAAAGAAAAAUUCGAUGGAUCUCUGAAAAGGAAUUGACGGUAAAAAGAAUCAAGCCCAGACGGGUGAUCCUAUCCUGAUAUACCCCUCCCGAAGAAUAUGUGUAAAAUGGAUUUAGCCCGGACGGGUAAUCCGAAUUAGGGUCUGAAUUUAGCCUGGACUGGUAAUUCAGAUCCAAGCUCGUUAGAGUAAUUGUCGUUGCAGGGGAUUUAGCCUGGACUGGUAAUCCCGACAAUACUCUAGGAGUUUAUAUUGAAGGGGAUUUAGCCUGGACUGGUAAUCCCGCUGCAAGGUUGAGGUUCGCAGGAGUGUGCUCUCUGAAAUGGAAAUGUGCGAACAUGAAUAUGAAUUAACGAACCCAGAAUUGUACACUAAAAGUGUACCUCUAAAAAAUCCAUCGAAAUUCCGAUAAAUUCAAUGGGAUAAAUAUGGAAAAAUGACAAGGAAAUGGAAAUCAUGGUAUUGAUGAGCUCAUCAAUCAUGGUAUAUAUUAUUGGUACAUGGAAAUUAUUGUACUAACUUGAAUGUUGAGUUUGCGCAUAUUAGGGUAAUAAUGCAUUGAACGGAUAUAUGAAUGUUUAUUGUAUUGUAUUGAAAAUAUUAGGUAAGUAUAAUUCUUGUUACAUGAGCUUACCAAGCACAAAGUGUUUACCCCGUUUCCUUUUUCCCUGUUUUGUAGUGAUAAGAGCUCGGAGGUCGGAUUUGGUCGGAGACACAUCACACUAUUAACCUCAGGAUUACGGUAUAUAAAGAAACUUUAUUUUGGAAAUCAAUGGCAUGUAUAAGCUAAUAAAGUAAAUGAUUCUGUGAAAUGAAUGUAGAAGUAGUCAUUGGUAUAGCUAACAAAUCUUGGUUUUGGGUAUGUGAUGAUGUUAUUUUAUAAAUAUGCAUGAAUUUAUCUUGAAAAUAUGUUGAAUUGGAUUGGUUGAUGUGGAUUGUUUUUGGUUUAAAAUUUUAGGGAAGAUUAGAUAUCUAAAAGGGGUUAUAUUGAGUUAAAAAAAAUUAAUUCGUAAACUCCGGUAAUACAUCGUACCCUAUUCCGGCAAUGCAUACGGGUAGGGGUAUUACAUUUAUUGGUAUCAGAGCUACGAUUUAGCCGGUUCUAGGACCGGUGUAGCAAAUAUGGAAUUAGCUAUACAUGCCAUUUAAAUUAUUAUUGAUAGUGUGAUAUCUCUUGACCAUUUAAAAUGUGUUUUUCUUAUAGUAAAUGUCUACCGACCGAGCUCAAUCUGAGGAAGCUGGGAGUGAUGCUCCGGCUUCAGUACAAAGAGAAGAAGCCAACAGUAGACGGCCCGAGAUAGAAGGUCAAGGGGAGGAGGCAAAAAUAGCCUUCUUUCAAAUGAUGAAUGAAUGGUUUAGUCAAUACUUAAGAACUAACCCUGUAGUGCAGCAAGUUCAAGCUCCCCCUCCUGCUCCUCCACCGGUUCCCGAAAUCCCACAGGGUAUAGGUACUGAAUCUGUCAGAAAAGGGAAAGCUCCAGUAGAUAAAAUUUGAAAAUAUAGGGCCGAAGAAUUUCAAGCAGUAGUUGAUGAUGAUUCCGAACGGGCUGAAUUCUGGUUAGAAAACACUACUCGAGUUUUGGAGGAAUUAUCUUGUACACCAGAAGAAUGUCUGAAAUGUGCCGUCUGACUGCUAAAAGACACAGCUUAUCAUUGGUGGAAUACUAAAGCUUCAGUUGUUCCGAAAGAAGAAAUUACAUAGGAGUUCUUUCAGAAUGAAUUUAAAAUGAAAUAUAUCAGCCAGAGGUUCCUUGACCAGAAAAUAAAAGAAUUUCUUGAGCUGAAACAAGGCAAUAGAUCGGUAUUUGAGUGUGAAAGAGAAUUUGUUCGAUUAAGUAAAUAUGCUCGAGAAUGGAUAUAGUCAGAAGCUAAAAUGUGCAAAAGAUUCGAAGAAGGGUUGAAUGAAGACAUUAAGCUAUUGAUCGGAAUUCUUGAAAUUUGAGAGUUUGCUACAUUAGCAGAGAGAGCUUAUAAAACAGAAGAAUUGAGCAAAGAAAAGAAACAGGCUGAGAGGGAAGCUCGAAUUUUUAGUAAAAGACCGAUGGGAAAAUCCUAGUUUUCUACUUCAAAGAAAUUGAAGAAGUACCAGUAUCGUUCUACCUCAGCCACUGGGUAUUCGGGUAGAGAGCGAGGUUCUCAAUACAUUAAUCCAAGACCUUCCACUCUAUCAGUGACCAUUGUUGGCAGUGUUGGCACUCCUAAGCCGAGAUGCCAGUACUGUAAUAAAGCUCAUUUUGGUGAAUGUCGAUUAAAGAGUGGGGCUUGUUACCAAUGUGGUUUUUUUGAUCAUUUCCUCAGACAUUGUCCAGAAAGGGGUGAAAAAGAAGCUGAACAGAUAUCGAAGCCAAGUAAUCCAGUUUCGAGAGGUAGACCACCUCGACCAUCUGGUAAUGUCAGUGGUAGCCGAGGAGUUACGAAAGAUAUUGCAGGCAGGUCUGAAGCACGAGCACCUGAUAGGACAUAUGCCAUCCGUGCCAGAGAAGAUGCCUCAGCACCUGAUAUUAUUACUGGUACAUUUUUUUUACUUGAUACUGAUAUUACUGCAUUGAUUGAUCCUGGUUCUACGCAUUCAUAUAUAUGUGUUAAACUUGCAAUUGUUAAAAAUUUAUCUGUUGAACCUACUGAAUUUGUGGUUAAAGUCUCGAACCCCCAGGGCCAGUCUGUGUUGGUGGAUAAAAUUUGUAAAACUUUUCCACUGAUGGUAAGAGGUUAUUGUUUCCCGACUGAUUUGAUGUUACUGCCAUUUGAUGAAUUUGACGUGAUAUUGGGCAUGAAUUAGUUAACCCAGCAUGAUGCAGUAGUAAAUUGUAGACAGAAAUAUAUUGUGCUAAAAUGUCAGAAUGGAGAGUUGCUCCGGGUUAAAUCUGAUCAGACAGUGGGGUUACCUGAUGUGAUUUCAGUAAUGACAGCAUAGAUGUAUGUCAAAAAAUGGUAUCAUGCUUACUUGGCUUAUGUACUUGACACCAAGGUAUCUGAGUCAAAGAUACAGGCAGUGCCAAUAGUAUGUGAAUUUUUCGAUGUGUUUCCAGAGGAAUUACCAGGGUUGCCACCAGAAAGAGAAGUGGAAUUUUCUAUAGAUUUGAUUCCAGGAACUACUCCGAUCUCCAUAGCUCCGUACCGGAUGGCUCCUACAGAAUUAAAGGAUCUAAAGACACAGUUGCAAGAACUUGUUGACAGGGGUUUUGUCUGACCGAUUCAUUCACCUUGGGGUGUUCUGGUUCUGUUUGUGAAAAAGAAAGACGGGUCUUUGAGAUUGUGUAUCGACUAUCGGCAGCUUAAUAAAGUAACCAUAAAGAAUAAGUACUUGUUACCCCGGAUUGAUGAUUUUUUUAUCAACUAAAAGGUGCUACUGUGUUUUCAAAGAUUGAUCUUUGAUCAAGUUAUUAUCAGUUACGGGUAAAGGAGUCAGAUGUGCCAAAAACAGCCUUUGAAACCAGGUACGGGCAAUAUGACUUUCUGGUUAUGCUGUUUAGGCUAACUAAUGCACCUGCAGUAUUCAUGGAUUUGAUGAACCGGAUAUUCAGACCGUACUUAGAUAGAUUUGUAGUAGUAUUCAUUGAUGAUGUUUUGGUUUAUUCUCGGGAUGAAGAAGAACAUGCAGAACAUUUGAGAAUUGUGUUACAAAUUCUGCAAGAGAAGCAGUUAUAUGCUAAAUUCAGUAAAUGUGAAUUUUGGCUCCGAGAAGUGGGUUUUCUUUGACACAUUGUAUCUGCUAAAGGCAUCAGGGUAGAUCCAAGUAAAAUCUUAGCUAUCGUCAAUUGGAAUCCGCCAAAGAAUGUAUCUGAAGUUAGAAGUUUCUUGGGUUUAGCUGGUUAUUAUCGGAGAUUUGUACAGGGAUUCUCUAUGAUAGCUUCUCCGAUGACUCAAUUAUUGCAGAAAGAUGUAAAGUUCGAGUGGACUGAUGAAUGUCAGCAGAGUUUCAACCGAUUGAAAGAUCUACUAACGAAAGUACCUGUAUUAGUGCAGCCUGGGCCGGGUAAGGAAUUUGUUAUUUAUAAUGAUGCCUCAUUAAAUAAUUUAGGUUGUGUCUUAAUGCAAGAAGGUAAAGUAAUAGCCUAUGCUUCAAGACAACAUAAACCACAUGAAAGAAAUUACCCAGUACAUGAUCUUGAAUUAGCUACUAUUGUAUUUGCGCUGAAGAUAUGGCGGCAUUACUUGCACGGUGAGAAAUUUCAUAUUUUUACUAAUCAUAAAAGUUUGAAAUAUUUGAUGACAUAGUAAGAUUUGAAUUUGAGAUAGCGCAGGUGGCUUGAACUGAUAAAGGACUAUGAUUUGAUUAUUGAUUACCAUCCGGGUAAAACUAAUGUUGUAGCUGAUGCUUUAAGCCAGAAAUCUCUGUUUGUUUUAUGAGCUAUGAAUACCCGGUUGUCAUUGACUGAUGAUGGUUCAAUCAUAGCUGAAUUGAAAGCUAAACCAAUAUUUUUACAGCAAAUAUGUGAAGCUGAGAAGAAUGAUGAGAAGUUACAGGUUAAACAGGCACAGUGUGAGUCAGGUAAUGAGUCUGAAUUUUAGAUUGGUUCUGAUGGUUGUUUAUUAUUCAGAGGUAGGGUAUGUGUACCUCAGAAUUCAGAGCUUAUACAGAAGAUUCUACACAAGGCUCAUAGCGGUACUAUGUCUAUACAUCCGGGGAGUAAUAAAAUGUAUAAUGAUCUAAAAAAGAUGUACUGGUGGUCGGGAAUGAAACGUGAUAUCUCUGAGUUUGUAUCAAGGUGUUUAAUAUGUCAACAAGUUAAAGCUGAACAUCAGGUACCUUUGGGAUUACUUCAGCCAAUUACUAUACCAGAAUGGAAAUAGGAAAGAAUUACUAUGGAUUUUGUAUCGGGGUUACCUUUGUCUCCGAGGAAAAAAGAUGCUAUUUGGGUGAUUGUUGACCGAUUGACAAAGUCAGCUCACUUUAUUCCGGUACGUAUGGAUUAUUCUUUAGAUAAACUACCUGAACUAUACAUAUCUGAGAUUGUCAGGCUACAUGGAGUGCCUGUCUCCAUUAUAUCAGAUAGAGAUCCCGAUUUAUGUCUCGUUUCUGGGACAAAUUGCAAGAAGCCUUGGGUACUCAGUUGUAUUUCAGCACUGCAUUUCAUCCUCAGAUAGAUGGUCAAUCCGAGCAUGUAAUUCAAGUAUUUAAAAGAUAUGCUCCGAUGUUGUAUACUAGAGUUCGAAGAUAAUUGGGAGAGGUAUCUACCUUUGAUUGAAUUUGCUUACAACAAUAGUUAUAGUCGAGUAUUAAAAUGGCUCCGUAUGAAGCUUUGUAUGGUAGAAAAUGUAGAACACCAUUAUAUUGGACAGAGCUCAGUGAAAGGAAGAUACAUGGGGUUGAUUUGAUUCGGGAAACAGAAGAAAAAGUAAAGGUUAUUCCAAAUAGUCUAAAAGCAGCUUCCGAUCGUCAAAAAUUAUAUGCCGACCUUAAACGAAAAGAGAUUGAAUUUCAAGUCAGUGACAAGGUAUUCAUGAAAGUGUCUCCUUGGAAGAAAGUUCUCCGAUUCGGUCGAAAGGGUAAACUGAGUCCAAGAUUUAUCGGGCCAUAUGAAAUCAUAGAAAGAAUAGGACCGGUCGCUUAUCGAUUGGCAUUACCACCGGAACUUGAUAGAAUCCAUAAUGUUUUUCAUGUAUCUAUGUUACGAUGAUAUCGAUCAGAUCCUUCACAUGUUAUUUCUCCGAUAGAAGUGGAGAUUCAACCGGAUAUGACUUACAGUGAAGAACCGGUCAAGAUAUUGGCACGGGAGACAAAAGAGCUUAAAAAUAAGAAGAUAAAUUUGGUUAAAGUAUUGUGGCAACAGCACGGGAUUUAAGAAGCGACAUGGGAACCGGAGGAGGCAAUGAGGAAACAAUACCCAAAUCUCUUUACUGGUAAGAUUUUUGAGGACGAAAAUCCUUAAAGGGGGGAGAGUUGUAAUGGCCUAAAUUCAAAGUUAUCGAAACAGUGGUUUCGUAACUACAAAUCCGAUUUAAAGAGAAGUUUAUUUCAAUAUUUUUGCAUGAAAAUUGAUAUGAUAGGAAAAUCGUAUGAAAAUAUAGAUAGAAAAAUUUUACCGAUUCAGUGGUUAGUUAGAAAAAGAAAUUAUUGAAGAAAUUGGGUAAAAACAAGGUAUCGAGACCUUUAUCUCGUAAAACUAAGUCUAAAAUAAUUUUAUAAAUAUUUAUGAAAUGUUAGUAAUGUGGUAUUAAAAUUUCGUUAGGAAAUUUUAAUGUUUGGGUAGUCAAUUAAAUGAAAAGGACUAAAUUGUAAUAGGUGUAAAAGUAGCUAGAAUGAUUAAAUAGCUUAAGAGUCUAAUGAGAAAGGAUUUAAAAGGAAAUUAGACCCAAAAUUUAUUUGGGCUGGACGGCAAGGGCAUGAAAUCAGCAGGAAAAUUGAUAAAUGAAGGGCAAAAUUGGAAUAUUGCAAAAUUAACUAAAUAAAACUAGGACUAAAUAGGAAAUAUCUAGAUUUCUCUUCAUUUCUCUUCAAUUCCAGUAGCUAAAAACGCCAUAGGAGGGUUCUCUAAGCUGUUAUUUCAUAAUUUUUGCACCAAAUCUAGAAGAUUGAAAUAUGAAGCUAGAUCGAGGAAAGGAAAAAGUUCGGGAUUAGUAGAUUUUUUUUUUACAAACAAGUAUCAAGGUAAGUUCGUGUAACUUGAAUUAUAUUCUUAAAUGCUUGAGAUUGCAUGUUAUUGAUGUGAAUAUGAUUUGAAUGUUCAUUGUAUGAAAAUUAAUGAAACAUUGGUAUAUUUGAUAAAAUGGGAAGAAAUCCCGGUUGAAUGGAAGAAAAAUUCGAUGGAUCUCUGAAAAGGAAUUGAUGGUAAAAAGGAUCAAGCCCAGACGGGUGAUCCUAUCCUGAUAUAGCCCUCCCGAAGAAUAUGUGUAAAAUGGAUUUAGCCCGGAUGGGUAAUCCGAAUUAGGGUCUGAAUUUAGCCUGGACUGGUAAUUCAGAUCCAAGCUCAUUAGAGUAAUUGUCGUUGCAGGGGAUUUAGCAUGGACUGGUAAUCCCGACAAUACUCUAUGAGUUUAUAUUGUAGGGGAUUUAGCCUGGACUGGUAAUCCCGCUGCAAGGUUGAGGUUCGCGGGAGUGUGCUCUCUGAAAUGGAAAUGUGCGCACAUGAAUGUGAAUUGACGGACCCAGAAUUAUACACUAAAAGUGUACCUCUAAAAAAUCCAUCGAAAUUCUGAUAAAUUCAACGGGAUAAAUAUGGAAAAAUAACAAGGAAAUGGAAAUCAUGGUAUUGAUGAGCUCAUCAAUCAUGGUAUAUAUUAUUGGUACAUGGAAAUUAUUGUACUAACUUGAAUGUUGAGUUUGCGCAUAUUAGGGUAAUAAUGCAUUAAACGGAUAUAUGAAUGUUUAUUGUAUUGUAUUGAAAAUAUUAGGUAAGUAUAAUUCUUGUUACAUGAGCUUACCAAGCAUAAAGUGUUUACCCCGUUUCCUUUUUCCCGGUUUUGUAGUGAUAAGAGCUCGGAGGUCGGAUUUGGUCGGAGACACAUCACACUAUCAACCUCAGGAUUUCGGUAUAUAAAUAAACUUUAUUUUGGAAAUCAAUGGCAUGUAUAAGCUAAUAAAGUAAAUGAUUCUGUGAAAUGAAUGUAGAAGUAGUCAUUGGUAUAGCUAACAAAUCUUGGUUUUGGGUAUGUGAUGACGUUAUUUUAUAAAUAUGCAUGAAUUUAUCUUGAAAAUAUGUUGAAUUGGAUUGGUUGAUGUGGAUUGUUUUUGGUUUAAAAUUUUAGGGAAGAUUAGAUAUCUAUAACGGGGUUAUAUUGAGUUAAAAAAAAUUAAUUCGUAAACUCCGGUAAUACAUCGUACCCUAUUCCGGCAAUGAAUAUGGGUAGGGGUAUUACACAUCGACAUCGUAUUUGAUUUCGUGUAAGACCCUGUCUGGGACAGAGGCAUCGAUAUUGAAUUACAUGUAAGACCAUGUUUCGAACGUCGGCAUUGUACUUGUUUAUGAGCAUCUGUAUUGUUGUUGACCCCUCUGAUGAUAGCGUACGAAAUUUGAGAUUGAGUAUAUGAAAUGUAUAACCUAUGCAGGUACGUUUGUAUCGUACUAAAUUUCUGAAUAUGAAAAACUCUGUCUCUGUGAAAUAUGUAUGGAAAUGAAGCAUGACAUAUAUGCAAACAAAGGAACAUGAUUAAGUUUAUGAAUUAUUCUAUGAAAUGGUUAUGAAUCUUUAUGGUUGAAUUGUACUUAUAUGCUUUAGUAGUUAGACCAAUUGUAUUUGGCUUACUAAGCUCUUUGUAGCUUACUCUGUGUGAUUACUGUCUGUUUUACAGUUAUCGUAGCUACUGAAGGCUCGGGGAUAGUUGAGGAUCGUCACCACACUAUCGAUCUCAUUUUGGUACUUUUGAAAGUGUAUAUAUUUUAAAGUAUGGCAUGUAUAGGCUAGAAGGUCUAUGUAUAAGUUUUGAUGUGUAUAUAUUAUGCCAUGAGAGUUGGCUAACAAAUGACAAGUUUGUGUAUGGUUUUGGUGUAUGUUUGUAAUGUGCUAAGUUCUAAUAUGUUUUGGUCAUUUUUAAGCAUAGAAUUGGUUGGAAAUUUUGGUAUUAAUGUUGUAUAUUAUUGCUUGAAGGUUUGGCCCCAAGAGAAGUGGCAAAUUGGCUUAAACCAAGCCUGCAUUGUGCCGCACGGUCAAGAUACACGGGCGUGCCUUGUGACCGUGUAAGAAAAGCAAUAUUGUCCUAAGAACCAUACAGUUUUGACACACGGGCGUGUCAUAUGGCCGUGGGCUAAAGUCAGUAACUAGCUAAGUAUCACAUGGCCAUAGUACACGGGCGUGCCCAUUGGCCUUGUGAAAAAGUCAGUAUAGGAUCUAUUUUUGGCACGGCUGGUUCACAUGGGAGUGUUUAGGGGCCGUGUGUGACACACGGCCUAGUCAAACGGAAGUGUGACUUUAACCGUUUGAUAGAAUUGGUUAUGUUCUGAAAAUUUUUAAAAUUUAGUUUCUUAAAUGUAUAUUUUAGGUCUCGCAGACCACGUUGUUGAAUGAAUUGUUGAUGAAUGCCUCUGUAUUAAUUAUAUUUAAUAUAUGUUAUUUUCUAUUGGUCUAAAAUGUUCUGUCUGUCUGGUAAUGCCUCGUAACCCUAAUCUAAUGUCGGUUAUAGGUUAGGGGUGUUACAUUUUAUUGGUAUCAAAGCUAUGGUUUAGUUGGUUCUAAGACUACCAUAAUGUAUGUAAGUCUAGCUAUACAUGCCAUAUAUCUGAAUCUAUGAUAGUGUGAUGACUCCUGACAUUGAAAUGUGCUUUUAUAUAGCAAAUGGAUCCCGAUAGAGCUGUAGCUGACGAUGUUGAAAGCAAUGCGCCUGUUCCCGCGCAAGGGACGGUGCAAGAUGAUUCACAACCUGUAACACCCCAAACUCGGCCUGGAAGUUUGGCUCGAAUCUGGCAUGUCACAUUGAAGUGUUUUUCGAAAACCAUGUUUCCAUUAAAAACCCUUCUUAAUAAUUAAAAACUUAUACCCUUUUUAAACCUUGUUAGAAACCUCAGCUGAAUAAAAUUCUUAACAACUUUGUGAAAAUCUUAGCAGUUGCGGAAGCUUGAUUUAAAAACAAUUACGGAUACGUGAUGUUUUGAACAAUAGUAGUUGUAUUGGAAAACCGUGUUCUAAUACUAGCAAUUAUAAGAACAAUAAAUAAAAUUCCAAAUUUGAAAUCCAGAAAAUUACAACGGCUUUACUACAACCCACAUAAAAACAUUUAAAAGUAAUAAUCAAAACUAUAACAUAAACAGUAUGUGUGGCUUCCUCCGAGCCCCUCGCAGCUCUGAUCCGUCUAAGGCUGGAAAUUACCUAAAAGGUUAAUAAACGGGGUGAGUUUACGAAAACUCAGUAUGAAAUCCCCUACUACAUAAAAGGAACAGUCAGUCAUAUAAAAGAAUUAAAAGUCUGGCCCCAGCCCUACUUACAGUUUCAGUAUCAAUUAGGCCUUAGCCCAUUAUAACAAACAGUACCAGAUGGGCCUUAGCCCAUUACAGAAUAAGAAACAUUAUCAGAACUAGAAUCAAAAUGAGAAUCAAAAUUAGAAUCAGAAUCAGGUGAUAGAAUCAAAAUCAAAAUCAGAAUCAAAAUCAGGUAACAGAAUCAGAAUCAGUAUCAGGUAAUAGAAUCAGGAUUAGAACCAGAAUUAGAAUUAGGUAACAGAAUCAGAAUCAAUAUUAGGUAACAGAAUCAGAAUCAGAAUGUGAAUGCAAACCCAACCAAAUCCAUUCGUAUACAUCCCCAUACCAACCUUACACCAUGUGGAAAGACAACUCGACCUACCCAUCCGCUACACACCACAGAAUUUGCAGCGAGGCUGCCAGAUAUUGUGACGAAGUCACCAGAUACAGAUAUUGUGGCUAGGCCACCAGAACAGAUAUAUAUAUGUGGCGAAGCCACCAGAUUGCAGCGAGGCUGCCAGAUAUUGUGACGAAGUCACCAGAACAGAUAUAUGUGGCGAGGCCACCAGAUUGCAGCGAUGCUGCCAGAACGCGUCCUCCAUCAAUAUAACCCAUAUCCCAUGCAACAGAUAUACAUGUCAUCGCAUACCACAUACAAAAUCAGAAUAUCAUGUCCAUAUUUGAAUCAAACAAUCAUAGUCAAGUCAUUCAUAUCACCAACAUAUAUUCACAAUCAAAUCCGUCAACCACACAGUCCAAGUCAGUCACUAUCCCACAAGGGCAAAACAGUCAUUUAACACCCUAGGGGUAAAAUGGUAAUUUUACCCCACAAGGGUAUCUCGGUAAUUCUACCCUACAGGGGUAUUUCAGUAAUUCUACCCUACAGGGGUAUUUCGGUAUUUCUACCCUACAAGGGUAUUUCGGUAAUUCUACCCUACAGGGGUAUUUCAGUAUUUCUACCCUACAGGGGUAUUUCGGUAUUUCUACCCUACAAGGGUAUUUCAAUAAUUUUGUAAAUCGAGGGUAAAACGGUAAUUCUGUAAAUUAGGGGUACUUUGGUAAUUUUACAAGUCGAGGGUAUUUCAAUAAUUUUACAGGUCGAGGGUAUUUCAAUAAUUUCACAAAUCAGGGGUAUUUUGGUAAUUUUACAAACUAGGGAUAUUUUGAUAAUUUUACAAACCAGGGGUAUUUUGGUAGUUUUACAAACCAGGGGUAUUUUAGUAAUUUUAUAAACAAAGGGUAUUUAAGUAAUUUUACAAACCAGGGGUAUUUUGGUAAUUUUAUAAACCAAGGGUAUUUUUGUAAUUUUACAAACCAGGGGUAUUUUAGUGAUUUUAUAAACCAAGGGUAUUUUAGUAACUUUACAAACCAGGGGUAUUUUGGUAAUUUGAUAAACUAAAGUUUCUAAACAGGGAUAACAAUACGAAUGGGCCUAAAGCCCUUUCUCGGCCCAAAUGGGCCCACACGCUCGUGUGGCCCUUUUAGCCCAAAUCUAGCCAUAGAUAUGAGAUUCACCUAACCUAGUCUAAUAUUUACUACACAAUCAAACAACUUAUCCAAUUGGGCCCGUAGGCCCAUUGGGCCGACAUGGCCCCUUUCGGCCCAUCGAGGCCCGAAGUAGCCAUCCUACAGCUAAAGUAGUGAGAAAUACACACCUGAUUGGAGACUGGAGUUAAUCCACGCUCCGAGCACUCUUAGCCGGCGCCCAACCCAACCGAGCACGCCACAAAGCGAAAGGGAUCAGCCAAGAAGGGUACAUUUACUCUCCUCAUGGUUCUCUCUAUUUAAAGCCAGUUUCGCAUCCACUCUUAUGUUAGCUUCCCGAUGUGGGAUCCCUCCAUCAUCAGAGUUUAAAUUCAACACCAACUCUUGCUGCCCCUUGUUAGCAAAAUAAAUGCUCUUUGCUAGCCAUGGGAUUCGAACCCAAGCCUCCCCUCAAAUGCUCCACACGCUACUUGCCACUAAGCCACAAGGCUUUUUUGUGUCACAAUUUCUCCAACAAUAUUCUUAAGGCCUACCUACUACAUCCAGGGUUUGAUUCACCUUAUACCAAAAUUUUUGCUAGAGUCCAGGUUUGAACCCAGGACUUCUCCAACACUUCUCAGCAUACUUAACCACUAAAACAAGCCUUCAACUAUGAAAUUUUCAUGCAUAACAGAAUAUUAUAAGCUGCCUUCUACCGCUCCCUUGCUCAAGGCCUAAAACUUCUAGGCCUAAAUUUAAGGUGUUACACAACCGACUAUGAGUAGCCGUGAUAGCGAGGCUAAGCAAGCCUUCUAUCAGAUGAUGAAUGAAUGGUUCACCCAAUACGACCCAAUCCGACUGUACAACAACCUCCACCCCCAGUUAAUCCUUUUCAAAUUCCUGAUAUGCUAUGAGUAAAUUUGGUACAGUUGAGUAGACCACCGGUUGAUAAGAUUAGAAAGUAUGGGGUGGAGAGUUCCGAGCUACAAUGAAUAAUGAUGCUGAAAGAGCCGAAUUCUGGUUGGAAAAUACAAUACGAGUGUUUGAUGAAAUGUCUCUGAAUCUUGAGGAAUGUGUAAAAUUUGUUAUCUCACUUCUGAGAGAUACAAUGUAGCAUUGGUGGAAAACUUUAAUAUCUGUAGUCCCGAGUGAACGGGUUACGUGAGAUUUCUUCCAAUCUGAAUUUCGGAAGAAAUACAUUAGUCAGAUAUUCAUUGAUCAGAAACGUAAAGAAUUUCUUGAGCUUAAACAGGACCGUAUGUCUGUUACUGAAUACGAACAUGAAUUUGUGAGAUUGAGCCAGUAUACCCAGGAAUGUGUAUCAAAUGAAACAAUAAUGUGCAAAAGGUUUGAAGAUGGACUAAACGAAGAUAUCCGUCUGUUAGUUGGAAUUCUGGAAAUUAAAGAAAUGGUUGUGCUCGUUGAGCGAGCUUGUAAAACUAAAGAAUUAAGUAAAGAGAAAAGAAAAGCUGAUUCUGAAGCUUGAGUUGCUAGAAAAAGAUCUUUGAGUAGAUCAUUCCAGUCUGUGAGAAAAAAAUUUCGAGAUGAUCAAAGUCGGCCAAAUGCUAAUGUGAGACAUUUAAACCGAGAUCGAGCUAGAUUGCAUACAAACUUCAGAGUCCCUGCUACUUCUGUUGCAAGUGUUGAGAAUUUCCGAUCUGAGAGACCUGAAUGUAAACACUGUGGAAAAAGACAUCCGGGAAAUUGUAGAUCGAAUAAUCGAGCCUGUUUUUGAUGUGGAUCUCUGGAUCAUUUCGUAAGAGAUUGUUCUGAACCUGCUGAACAAGAGAAUGUAUAGAAUUUGAGACCGAGUAAUACCUCAGCUAGAGGUAGACCUUCCAGAAAUACGGGAAAUGUUAGCGGAGGUCAAAGAGAUACUAGGGAUACUACUGUUAGAUCUGAGGCCAGAGUACCUGCCAGAGCCUGUGCUAUCCGAGCUCGUGAAGAAGUUACGUCUCCAAACAUGAUUACUGGUACUUUCACUCUUUAUGAUACUUCUGUGAUUGCAUUGAUAGACCCUGGAUCAACGUAUUCUUAUAUCUGUAUGAAUUUAGUGCAUAGUAAGAUUUUGCCUGUAGAGUCUACUAAAUUCGUAAUUAGAGUAUCGAACCCCUUAGGCAAAAGUGUCAUAGUUGAUAAAGUCUGCAAGAAUUGCCCGUUAUUGAUUCGAGAUAUCUAUUUUCCUGCUAAUCUGAUUCUUUUACCUUUCGAUGAAUUUAACAUAAUUCUAGGAAUGGAUUGGUUAACUCUGCAUGAUGCUAUUGUGAAUUGCAAACAAAAAGUCAUUGAUUUAAGGUGUGAGAAUGAUGAAAUAAUCUGAAUUGAGUCUACUUAUCUGAAUGGACUACCAGCUGUGAUAUCUGCAAUGAAAAUACGGAAAUAUGUGAAGAAAGGUUGUGAAGCCUACUUAGCUUACGUGUUAGAUCUGAAAGUGAAUGAUAAGAAAGUUGAAUCAGUGACUGUUGUUUGUGAAUUCUCUGAUAUGUUUCUUGAAAAACUGUCUGGUUUGCCUCUGAUUCGAGAAGUCGAGUUUGGCAUUGAAUUAGUACGUGGUACUACUCUGAUUUCAAUACCUCCGUAUAGAAUGGCUCCGACUGAAUUAAAGGAAUUGAAAUCUCAGUUACAAGAAUUGACCGAUCGAGGGUUUGCUAGACCGAGUUUCUCACCUUGGGGCGCUCUUAUUCUAUUUGUGAAAAAGAAAGAUGGCACAAUGAGAAUGUGUAUUGAUUACUGCCACCUUAACAAAGUGACUGUAAAGAACAAAUAUCCUCUGCCUAUAAUUGAUGACUUAUUCGAUCAGUUGAAAGGUGCUACUGUGUUUUCCAAGAUAGAUUUAACAUCGGGUUGCUACCAGUUGUGAGUAAAGGAUACUGACAUUCCAAAAACUGCUUUUAGAACGAGGUACGGACAUUAUGAAUUUUUAGUUAUGUCUUUUGGUUUAGCGAAUGCACCUGCUGUAUUUAUGGAUUUAAUGAAUAGAAUUUUCAGACCGUAUCUUGAUCAAUUUGUGGUUGUAUUCAUUGAUGACAUAUUGUUUUAUUCACAAGAUGAAACUGAACAUGCCAAGUAUUUAAGAAUAGUGCUACAAGUUCAGUGAGAUAACCAGUUGUAUGCAAAGUUUAGUAAAUGUGAAUUCUAGUUGUGAGAAGUUGGUUUUUUGGGUCAUAUUGUAUCAGUUUCCAGUAUCCGAGUUGAUCCGAGCAAGAUUUCAGCUAUUCUGGAUUGGAAGCCUCUGAGGAAUGUAUCUGAAGUCUGUAGUUUUUUGGGACUUGUCGUUUACUACAGACGAUUUGUAAAAGAUUUCUCUGUGAUAGAAACUUCGUUGACAAAAUUGCUUCAGAAAUAUGUGAAAUUUUAAUGGCCUGAGCAAUCUCAGAAAAUUUUUGAUCGGUUAAAAGCUUUGUUAACUGAAGCUCUGGUAUUGGUAAAACCUGAGUCAGGUAAAGAAUUCGUUGUUUACAAUGAUGCUUCGUUGAAUGGACUCGGUUGUGUUUUGAUGCAAGAAGGGAAAGUUGCUGCUUAUGCUUCGAGAAAAUUAAAGCCGCAUGAGAAGAACUGUCUAACACAUGACCUUGAGUUAGCUGCCAUUGUGUUUGCUUUGAAGAUCUAGCGUCACUAUCUGUUUUGUGAGAAAUGUCACGUGUUUUCUAAUCAUAAAAGUCUGAAGUAUUUAAUGACGCAAAAAGAUUUGAAUAUGCGACAGAGAAGAUGGUUAGAGCUGUUAAAAGACUACGAACUCGUGAUUGAUUAUCAUUCGGGCAAAGCUAACGUUAUUGUUGAUGCUCUAAGUAGGAAAUCAUUGCCUGCGUUGCGUGUUAUGAACGCUCAUUUAGUUCUGUCUGAUGAUGGUUCAGUUUUAGCUGAAUUAAAAGCAAGACCUUUGUUUUUACAACAGAUUAUCGAAGCUCAGAAGAUUAAUAAUGAGAUUUUGGCUAAACGAAUUCAGUGUAAUUCUGAUUCUGAUUCUAAAUUCUGGAUAGAUGAUGAUGACUUUCUGAGGUUUAGAAAUAGACUUUGUGUUCUGAGAAAUCCGGAGUUGAUUCGGAUGAUUUUGAGUGAAGCUCACAGUAGUAGAUUUUCUGUACAUCCGAAGAGUACGAAAAUGUGUAAAGAUUUGAAACAACUAUAUUGGUGGCCGAGAAUGAAAAGUGAUAUUUCUGACUUUGUUUUGAGAUGUUUAAUCUGUCAGCAAGUUAAAGCUGAGCAUUAGGUUCCAUUUGGGUUAUUACAACUGAUUAUGAUUCCGGAGUGGAAAUGGGAUCGAGUGACCAUGGAUUUUGUUCCGGGUUUGCCUGUGUCUCCGAAAAAGAAAGACGCAAUUUGGGUUGUAGUUGAUCGUUUAACGAAAUCAGCUCAUUUUAUUCCGAUUCGGUGUGAUUAUUCGUUUGAUAAGCUAGCUGAGUUGUAUAUUUCUGAUAUUGUGAGAUUGCAUGGUGUGCCAUUAUCAAUAGUAUCUGAUAGAGACCCGAGAUUUACAUCACGAUUUUGGAAGAAAUUGCAAGAUGCUCUGGGAACUAAAUACAUUUUAGCACUGCUUUUCAUCCGCAAACGGAUAGUCAAUCUGAAUGAUUUAUUCAGAUACUUGAGGAUAUGUUAAGAUGUUGCAUUCUCGAGUUUGAAGGUACAUGGGAACAGUAUCUACCCCUUAUUAAAUUUUCUUAUAAUAACAGUUUUCAGUCGAGCAUUAAAAGGGCACCGUACGAAGCUUUAUACGGUAGAAAGUGUAGAACUCCGUUAUACUAGUCUGAGCUCUUUGAGAAUAAGAUUUACGGUAUUGAUUUGAUAAAAGAAACAGAAUAGAAAGUGAAAGUAAUCCGAGAUAGUUUGAAAGUUGCCUCUGAUCGUCAAAAAUCUUAUGCGGAUUUAAAACGAAAAGAUAUCGAAUUUGAGGAUGGUGAUAAAGUGUUUCUGAAAGUAUCUCAGUGGAAGAAACUGUUUCGAUUUGGUAAAAAGGGGAAGUUGAGUCUGAGGUUCAUUGGACCGUAUGAAAUCACCGAGCGAGUUGCGCCAGUUGCUUAUAGAUUGAGGCUACCAUCUGAGUUGGAAAAGAUACAUAAUGUAUUUCACGUAUCGAUGCUUCAACGAUACAAAUCUGAUCCUUCGCAUGUAAUUUUUCAGUCUGAUAUUGAAAUCUAUUCUAAUAUGACUUAUGAAGAAAAGUCGAUUCGUAUUCUGUCUCGUGAGAUUAAAGAAUUAUGUAAUAAAAGAAUUCCAUUGGUUAAAGUGCUGUGGCAUAGACACGGAGUAGAAGAGGCUACGUGGGAGCCUGAGGAUGCAACGAAACAACAAUAUCCGAAUAUGUUUAACGGUAAGAUUUUUGGGGACGAAAAUCCCUAAGGGGGGAGAAUUGUAACAGUCCGAUUUAGACCUAGUCGAAAUAGUAGUUUUGGGACCACAAAUCUGAGUCCAAAAAAUAUUUUAAUAUUAUUUUGUGUCUGUGAUAUAUGAAUUUGUAUCUAUGAAAUUUCUGUGAUUUAAUUUGUUUGUUUCUGUGCUCGAUUUUACAAAAAGGAUUUAAUCGCGUAAAUGAUAAAAUCUGUAUGUCAGAUAUUCAAUGUGUUUAAUUGGCAUGGCUUUGGAUUAUAUGGCCUUAUGUGGCAACUAUUCCAUUAAAUUUUUGAGUGGUCAUAAAUGACCUUGUCUCAUGUAAUUUAUAUGUUUAUUAAUGAAGGAUACAAGGGUAAUUCAUGCUUUAACAUGAAUUAAAGAAAACAAAAUUCAUGCAUGUGUUCAUAAAACACCUAUUAGAACCGAAAAUCAAAGAAAAUAAAAUGAAUAAAAAAACCCUCUUAGGUUUCGGCCCUUGUUCUUCUUGAUUAAUGUCUGAAAUUUCGUCCGUUUUUGAUAAUUUCUACGUUUUUGUGAUCGUUGCUUCAUGUUCUUCAAAGCCUAUGUCUGAAUUUCUAUUUCUGUUAAAGAUUUCAUGAAAUGACAUUGUUGAUAUCAUGAGCUUUGUGAUGUUUUUGGAUGAAUUAUGAAGGCUUAGUAAAUGAUUAUCAUGUUUUAUCUUUGGAUUUUUGAUGAAAUAGAGCUAAUUGGGCUAAUUUAUGAAAAUGAGGUUUUGAAGGACUAAAUUGUGAAUUAAAUAUGUUACUUGGGCUCGUAUAGAAGCCAUGUAUAUUCGGCCAAGCUAUAGUCUUGGUGAAUUUUGCAUAUUGGUGAUUUUGUGAAAAAUGGACUAAAUUGUCAAAGUGUGAAAAUGUAAGGGCUAAAAUGUAAAAUUCCCUAAAUAUGUGUAUAUGGAUUAAAUUGAAUGAAAUGAAUGGUUGAAUGGUUGAAUUUGUAUUGUAUUAGAUCAAGAACAAAGAAAAUUAGACUUAGAUCGGGGGAAGUCCAAAAUAGUUGAAUAGACGACUCUUUUUAUCCGAAAUCCGUCCGAGGUAAGUCAAAUUACAAUUACGUGUUAAUUGAAAUGAAUUCUGUACAUAUAAAAUGUAAUCUAUAUUGGAUGGCCUUGAGUGCCGGAUAAAUAUAUUUGGAGUAAAGUAUGAUAAUAUGUUAGUAUCUGAAAAGCUCUAUAUGUUUCUAAGAAAAGUUGACAUCUGUUUGAGUCAUCGUGUAAGACCGUGUCUGGGACACAGGCCUCGAUUGAGAUUUCCGUAUAAGACCAUGUCUGGGACAUCGACAUCGUAACUGAUUUCGUGUAAGACCCUGUCUGGGACAGAGGCAUCGAUAUUGAAUUACAUGUAAGACCACAUCCGGGACAUCGGCAUUGUACUUGUUUAUGAGCAUCAGUAUCGUUUUUGACCCCUCUGAUGAUAGCGUAUGAAAACUGAGAUUGAGUAUAUGAAUUGUAUAACCUAUGCAGGUACGUUUGUAUCAUACUGAAUUUCUGAAUAUGAAAAAUCUUGUCUCUGUGAAAUAUGUAUGGAAAUGAAGCAUGGCAUAUAUGCAAACAAAGGAGCAUGGUUAAGUUUAUGAAUUAUUCUAUAAAAUGGUUAUGAAUCUUUAUGGUUGAAUUCUACUUAUAUGCUUUAGUAGUUAGACCAAUUGUAUUUGGCUUAUUAAGCUCUUUGUAGCUUACUCUGUGUGAUUACUUUCUGUUUUAUAGUUAUCGUAGCUACUGAAGGCUCGGGGAUAGUUGAGGAUCGUCACCACACUAUUGAUCUCAUUUUGGUACUUUUGAAAGUGUAUAUAUUUUAAAGUAUGGCAUGUAUAGGCUAGAAGGUCUAUGUAUAAGUUUUGAUGUGUAUAUAUUAUGCCAUAAGAGUUGGCUAACAAAUGACAAGUUUGUGUAUGGUUUUGGUGUAUGUUUGUAAUGUGCUAAGUUCUAAUGUGUUUUGGUCAUUUUUAAGCAUAGAAUUGGUUGGAAAUUUUGGUAUUAAUGUUGUAUAUUAUUGCUUGAAGGUUUGGCCCCAAGAGAAGUGGCAAAUUGGCUUAAACCAAGCCUGCAUUGUGCCACACGGUCAGGGUACAUGGGCGUGCCUUAUGGUCGUGUAAGAAAAAUAAUAUUCUCCUAAGAACCACGGGCAUGUCAUAUGGCCGUGGGCUAAAGCCAGUAGCUAGCUAAGUAUCACACGGCCAUAGUACAUGGGCGUGCCUAUUGGCCGUGUGAAAAAGUCAGUAUAGGACCUAUUUUUCGCACGGCUGGUUCACAUGGGCGUGUUUAGUGCCCGUGUGUGACACAUGGCCUAGUCACACAGGCGUGUGACUUUAACCAUUUGAUAGAAUUAGUUAAGUUCUGAAAAUUUUGAAUAGGUUCGGUUUAGUUCCGAUCUUUCCUUAAAUGUAUGUUUUAGGUUUCGUAGACCACAUUGUUGAAUUAAUUAUUGAUGAAUGCCUUUGUAUUAAUGAUAUUUAAUAUAUGUUAUUCUGUAUUGGUCUGAAAUGUUCUGUCUGUCUGGUAAUGCCUGUAACCCUAAUUCGAUGCCGGUUACAGUUUAGGGGUGUUACAGUAUGAUUAUGUUGAUAUGUAUGAGAUGAUAUACAUAAUGAAAUAGUCAUAAGUUGUGAAACAUGGACAAAUUGUCGUGUUCUGGUUGAAUGUUGAAUUUCGAUAGAUUAAGAUGAUUUCUUGAAUAAGAAUAAUACUACAUAUGUUGCAAAUAGAAUUUAGCCCAGACGGGUAAUUCUAAUGUAAGCCCUCUUAAGCUUAUACUAUAGACUGGAUUUAGCUCGGACGGGUAAUCCAAAUUAAGCUCUCUAGAGCAUAUAAGAUGGAUAGGAUUUAGCCUGGACUGGUAAUCUUGUUGUAAAAUGUGUGGCUCAAGAGUGUGUCUUUCUAUUAUGUACCCUAACGGCUACUUUUGCACAUGAGUAUACCACCCGAACAUCCAUUGAAAUUUCAAUAGUUCGACGGAAAGGACUCUUGAUGUGUGGAAAGGCAAAAUUAAUGGAAGUUGGUAAUGUGAUGAGCUGAUCUAUGUUUACUUGAUAUUUAUAUGAGGUUAUGUGAUUAACUUGUUUGAUUAAGUGUUUGUGUUUAGGUAAACUCAAACAAAUUUUAUGGAAAGUAUGACUAUGUAUGCUUGUAGCGAUAAGUAUGAUUGGUAAGUUUAUUUUCUGUUAUACGAAUUACUAAACAUAAAAUGCUUACUCCAUUUAAUUUUCCCUAUUUUAUAGUGCUCAAAAGCUCGCGAAGGUUGGAAGUCAGUCGGAGCAAUCAUCACACUAUCCACAAUUACAUUUUGGUAUAAAUAGAAAUCUCAUUUUGGUAUAAUGACAUGUAUAAGUUUAUUUGGUCAUUGAUGGCAUGUAAUUGUUGUUUUGUAAUCUAGCCACUGGAGUGGCUAGAGAUGGUCUAAGUUUGGCUAUUUUUGAAGUGAUGUUUUAGUAAUCACAUAUGUGACAGCCCUAAAUUGACCCUAGUCGAAAAGUGGUUUCGGGACCACGAAACCGAGUCUUAUAAAUAAUUAAAGGUUAUAUUCUGUGUUUAUGAUGUGCGUAAAUGCUUGUGUGAUAGUUCCAUACUUUAAUUUGUCAGUGUAUGUGAAAUUUAUUAGUAGGGACUUAUGUGAGACAAUUUAGAAAUAUGCUAGGCAAGUGUUCAAGUGGCCUAUUAAUAUAUGUGGGAAAGUGCUUGUCCUUGCAUGUCAAAUUAGCCAAAUUAAAGCAUAGUGGCCGGCCAUGCUAUGGGUGGAAACAUGUCACAAACAUGUUAUGUUAGUGAUGUAUGUUAGGAAAAAUAAAAUAAGGAGCAUGGUAAUAAAAUAAUGAAAGGGAAUAUGAUGAAAAAAAAAGAAAGAAAGAAUGUGUGUGAUUGUUUUCCCCCCCUUUUGCCGUGAAUGGAAGAAAGAAAACAAAAAAAAGUGUUCAUCCUUGAACAUCUUUGGCCUAAUAGAAGAAAGAAAGGAAGAGAAUGAGCUUGGAGAAAAUCGACUAUGGAGGCUCACUAGAUUAAGGUAUGUUUAAUGUUGCUUUGAAAGUUCAUACAUCCCUUGGAUGAUUGGUCUAAAUUCUAACUAUCUCAUGGAUGGAUUUGGGAUUAUUAGAGAGUUAGUAUUCGACUAAGAGGCUUCAAAAGUUUUAGUUGAAGCCUUGAGACUAUUAGCAUGUUAGCUAUAUGGAUGUGUUAUGAUGCUUGAGGUGUUAGGUAAAUUUGAACUCAUCACCAAGUUUUUUAAGCAAUCCAAGCUAAAAGUUUCGGUAUUGAGGUAUCUUGAGCAUUCGGCCAUGGUAGGAAGUAGAGGGGAAAUAUGGUUGUUGUUGGAUGAAGUAGGGUCUAACAAAUGAGCACAUAUGUGCAUUAGAUGCUAGAUGGAGAAGAAUCGGCUAGCAAGUUGUGUGCUAAGGCCGAAUAUAAUUUUGUAUAUUAAUGAGUAAUGCACAUGUUGAAUUGAUGGAAAGGGAGAGGAUGCUUUAAUAGUGUAUAUAUGUGUAUUAGCCAAGUUUUGAACUUGAAACAAAAUGGGGUUUAGUCAAUACAAGUGACCAUACUUGUAGAAUGUAUUAAGUGUUGCAAUCGGCCUCAGCAUAGACAUGUAUGUUCGGCCACAUGAAUGAGUACAUAAGUUGAUGUGCAUGUUCGGCCAUAGGUAAGCAUAUUGAUGGCUUUACCUUGACUUAGAAAUUCUACUAAGGGGAAAUAUUAGCUAAUAUGUUGAAUUCGAUUCGUGAUUUCGUACAUAUGUGACUCUAAUGUCUGAUGUAUAUAUGGGCUAAGUACCUUGAGCUUCUCUUUUGAUGUUUGAAUGAAUUGUAUUAAAUUGCUUAAUGUGAUUAAAAAUGCGUAUGACCAUUUUGUAUUUGAGCUAAAGGUGGCCAUAUGACCCAUCAAAUUCAUUGUCAUGUUCGGCCAUAAGCUAGCAUAAUGAGACUUUAAUAAGUUAAAUUUGUUUGAAUUAGCUCAAGAGCUUAGAGGACCAAAGUUGGAUAAGGGAAAGGAAAAAGUGAUCGAAUAGCCGCCGAAAUCGUUCGACAACAUCCGAGGUAAGUUUUCGAGUAAUGGAGCUUAGAUUAUGAUUCGAUUAGAUUAUGUCUUGAGUAAAUCAAAAUCAUGCUCUUUGUAUGUGGCUAUUGAGCCAAAAUUUGUAAGUGUGAUAAGUGUUUUGUGUUUGAGCUUUGGUAAUGAAAAUGAAAUAUGGAUGUGUCAUGAUUAUUGAUAUAUGUGCAUGGUUAUUCGAACGAUAUCCGGGCUAAGUCCCGAAGGCUUUUGUGCUAGGUGACUAUAACCGGACUAAGAUCCGAAGGCAUUCGUGCAAGUUGCUAUAUCCGGGCUAAGACCCGAAGGCAUUUGUGCUAGCGAUUAUAUCCGGGCUAAAACCCGAAGGCAUUUGUGCUAGCGACUAUAUCCGGGCUAAGUCCCGAAGGCAUUUAUGCUAGUGACCACAUCCGGGCUAAGACCCGAAGGCCUUGCGCAAGUAGUUAUAUCCGGCUAAAUCCCGAAGAUUUCUUGACUUUGGGAAUGAGCGAUCUGCUGUAAUAAUUUCAAUUAAUACGCUCGUAAAAUCUAAACAACGAGGUAUUUGUUGUACAUGCAUUGGAUUAAUUGAUUCCUCUUAAAUAGCAUUCGCUCAGUCGAUUAAGGAGCUUCCGGUUUUUGGUUAAGUUGAUCCCCUAUGUAUGAAUAUAAGGGUUGGAAAUGUGGAGUAGGACUGAUUUUUGAGAAUAUAUGUGUAUAUGAAAUUAUCCGUUUAGUUAUAUGAAUGCUAUACUUCAGUUGAGCCUAAUUCCAUUGCUCAAAACUUACUAAGCAUUAAAUGCUUACUCCGUUUCUUUGAAUCUCUGUUUUAUAGAUUUUGGUUCGUCAGCUAUAGGACUCGGGAGUGUCAAAGUCGAAGUCGCCCACACUAUCAAAGCCCCUUUCGGUACACUUUUGGUUGAACUUUGAAAUGGCAUGUAUAGGACUACCCUUUUUGUUGUUGGUCAUGGACCCUUUGGUUUUGUAUAAAUUUGGAUAGCCAUGCGAAAAUGGCUUAUAUACACUUUGAGCUUAAUUUUAUAAUCGUCUUGUAUGAUGUUCAUUAAGAGGUAUGGAAAUGUUUGGGAACGAUUAGCCAUUGGAAUGGUUAAUCAUGAUCAUAUUUUAUGCUAUUUAUGCAAAAGGGCUAGUUGAAUCAUGGAAACUAUGUAAUAGGUAAAGUCUACCUUAAAAAUAGAUGCUGAUAGCAGCAGCAACGCGAAUGUGAAAAAUCACUAAAAAUAGUAGGAAUGGAAUUAAAUAGUGAAUAAAUUAUGUAAUCUAACCUUGAUGAAUCUAUUUUCAUAGGAAAGUAACGAAACGAUCAUAUGAACAAUAUGUUAAGAGAUAUUUAGGUUUUCGCAAAACAGGGCCAGAACGGUUUCUGGAUUCCCUGUUCCGACUUUGGAAAUUCAUUAUAAAUUAACCAGAGAUAAUUAGAAGUCAUGCCUUAUAUGUAUAGAUUCCUUUUUGAGUCUAGUUUCAUUAGAAACAAACGGCAUCAGUAUUGAAGCCCUGUACAGGGAGAUAUCCAAGUUAUAGUGUGUGGAGGUCAGAGUAGUCGAACCCUGAAACAGGGGAGACUUUAACUAAUAAACUGUACUAUUGACCCGACCAAAAAUUCUAGAAAAAAAUUUGUAGAUGGAUAUAUGAGUCUAGUUUCAGGGAAAAAUUGCGAAACUGAUUUUCGAGUUUUGGAACUCAAGAUAUGAUUUUUAAGGUGACAGUGACGCAGUUAGUCAGUUGUCUGGAAAUUUUCAAAAUGGACUGUGAGAAUAAGUGAAUUUAGUCUGUGAACCCCUCGUGUCUGACUCCGGUAACGGUCUCGGGUACGGGGUGUUACAACAUAAGUGCUUGUUAUGUGUUAGUUUGUUGGAAUUAUGUUAGCAUAUAAGUUUAUGAUAAGUGUAAGUUUAUAUCCAUUGAUACAUGAGAUAAUACUACAUGUUUGAUGACUAAUUUUAUGUGAAUAUGAUGUUGGAUUGGUGGAUAUAUGCUUGUGAGUUUUGGUGUAGGAAAAUGGUAAGUUUUGGGUGACAAAUGAGGCAAGGAAAUGGUUUUAUUUUUGUCCAUACGGGUAGACACACGGGCGUGUGUCUUGGUCGUAUGUGACACAUAGCUUGCCCAUAGGCAUAUGGUCCGGUCGUGUGUCCUUUGCAUCUUAAAAAUGAGAAACAGAAUGUUUAGAGUUGGGCACACGGGAAGAGACACGGGCUUGUGUCUCAACCGUGUGGUUGACAUAGCCUUGGACACGAGCGUGUUACACGGCCGUGUGAAAACUGCACCUAAAUUUUGAAAAUAAAAUAUGUCACACGGCCUAGCUCACGGGCGUGUGACUUGGCAGUGUGAUUUUAAUUUCUUCAUGCCUUAUAAGUCAAAGAGUUACACAGGUUAGGGAGAUGGGUAUGUGUAGUCACACGGCCCGACUACACGGGCAUGUCUCUAGACCACACGGGUGUAUGAGUACUGUUCAUAAUAAUUUUUUUUUGAAAAUUCAUGAAUGAGAUUCCGAUUUAGUCCCGAUUUAUUCCUAUUGUUCGUUUUGGGCCUCAAGGGUCCAUUUAAGGGACGUUAUGAUUGAUACUAGAAAAUGUUUAGUAACUAGUAUAAAUUAUCUGUGAAUGUUCUGUAAACUCCGGUAAUACUCCAUAACCCUAUUCUAGCGACGGAUACGAGUUAGGGUGUUACAUGACCCCUACAGUAUUGAGAAUUUUUACUAUUUUUUUGAAAAUUUUAUGAGUUUUCGAUUUAGCCCCGACUUGUUUCUAAUGUGUUUUUAGGGCCUCAAGGGCUCAUAUAAGGGAUAAUAUGUAUGUUUUGAAUUAGUUUUAAUAUGAAUAUUGAUAUGAUUUGAAAUGUUUGAUAUUUGUGUUCGUUUGAAUUGAAAACUCCGGUAAUGCUCCGUAACCCUAGUUCGGCGACGGAUACCGGUUAGGAGUGUUACGUUUAUUUGUAUUAGAGUUGCAAUUUAGUCGAUUCUUGGACUAAACGUAGCGUGUAUGAGUCUAGCUAUACAUGCAAUUAUAUAACCUGUGAUAGUGUGAUAUCUCCUGACCGUUUUAAAAUAUGUUUUCUUAUAGCAAUGACAUCCAAUCGAGCUGACUCUGAUGAAGUUGAGAGUAACGCUCAAGCUUCCGUUCAUGGAGUGGCAUCGAGCGAUACAAGACCUAUACUUGAGGGUCGAGGAGAAAAGGCUAAGGAAAUUCUAAUUCUUAAUAAAACUUUUAUCUUUCUCUGCUCGUAUAAUCCUAAGUUAAACAAAAGAGUUUUAAAUACUCAAGUGUAACUUUUAGUUUAGUUAAAUUAAAGAGUUUUAAAUGUUUAUUUUAUUGUUUUUAUCUUAAAUUUGAAAGGAGUCCAACAACACCUUAUAAUAAUGAUAUUGUAGCUAAAAAAGAAUGAGUGUUGUAGGAUGAGACAAUUUCAAGGUCCCACUAACGCCACUUUGUUACAGCUAUAUCUCUAUUGAAUCGCAUUUUUUUUAUAUGUGGUGGCAGCUUAGAGUGCUUGACCGCGCCUCAAAUUCUUCCAAAAAAUAUAUAUAAUAAUAAUUAAAUACCAAAGCUCGCCUCACUGUAGCCCAAUUUUCUACUGUAAAAUUGUUUGUUGCGGCGGCCGCUCAUUUAGUAGUAAAAAUUUGGCCUUCGAAUUCCCUAUAGUUACCUGAGUUGCCACUGUGGUGGAUUUGUGGCGACGGUUAGAUGGAGGCUGGGGUAACGACGACGGCGACUACAACAGCGUCGUUCAGUUCGAUACUUGAUAAACCCCUCAGCCAACUAACCGAAGAAGACAUUUCUCAACUCACUCGCGAAGACUGUCGCAAAUUCCUCAAAGAAAAAGGUGCUUUUGAUUUUUUUUUUUUUGAUCUUCUUUUACUUCUGCUUUUGCCCUUUCUUGGUCUCCGUAUUUUCUUAACCGUAUCCAGAAUACUGGGAAACAUGGAGGGACAGCCAAAAAAAAAAAUUGUAAUAUGUAAACAUUGACACGUGACGUUACAGGAAUGCGUAGGCCGUCAUGGAACAAGUCGCAGGCGAUCCAGCAAGUGAUUUCGUUCAAGGCGUUGUUGGAAAGCAACGAAGAUUCCGGCGCCGGAGCUCGCCGGAAAAUCCUUGUUUGUCCACCACCAUCACAUUUUCCUCCGCAAAAUGCGGUGGCGCGUCUUAUAUCACUCUUAUUUCUUCUUAAGCCACUUUUCUGGGUUCUGUUUGCUUCAUUUUGUUAUUUGGAUAAAUGGAUAAUGAUCUUGGAAUGCUCUGUUUAGGUCGCUUCAAAUUCUGGUGAGUCAGUAAAAGAAGCAGUCUUUGGAGAAGAAGAAAGCCUGUACGGCCAAAAAGAUCUUUCUUUGAAAGCUGCCCCGGUCGUGCAGAUGAAUUGUCAGGGCGGUGACACGGAUGACAAGACUCUUUCGCCUAGGUUUAAUUUCAAUUUCCUAUUACUACGAAUUGUGGUUUUUAUCUAAUUCCUUUUGUUAUUGAUGGGCUUGGAUAUAUAAUCAAUUUAUUAAUUUAUAUCUUUUAAACAGUGAUGCAAUGCUAAUUGGGUUUUCAAAAGGAAUGAUAUUGAUGGACUCUCUCUAAUAUUUCUUUCAGUUUAGGAUAGUUCAUCUUUGAUGUGAAGCACUGUGCUAUUAUCUUUACCUUCCGUUGAUCUAUGGAAAUUGCAUUGACCUAUAGAAUGUUAAGUGGUGAGAGUUUGGCUUUGUACAUUGAGUGGAUAUUGCUCUAACGCGGAUAAUAUAGUCAAGGCAAACAGUUAACAACUUGCUUGUUUGAUAUAUAUGCAAAUAUAUUAUAUUUCUAUUUGUGAAUAGGUGUGCUAAUUGUGUUCAAUUUAGAUUUACAUUGAAAACUUAUAGUUGUAUACUCUUGUUUGUUUUCUUCAGUUUAGGCUCUCCACGGGAGUAUUCAAAAUUGCCUGGCAGAAGUCAAUAUGAAACAAAUGAGCUGGGUGGGCAAAUGACAAUUUUUUACUGUGGAAAGAUCAAUGUGUACGAUAGUGUACCACUUGCUAAGGUAAUGAAGCUUCCUCUUUCUGUGGAUAUAUACCUGGAGAACAAUAGUGGCAUGUUGGCCUUCUUCCAAUGUAUCCAAAUAUGGGUUUGCAGGCACGAGCAAUCAUGCACCUGGCAGCUUCUCCUAUUGAUUUUCCUCAGGGCAAUCUUUGUAAUCAAAAUGGUGCCUUUAGUUCCUUUCUGGGUCAUGUACAAGAAGCCGAAGCCAAAAAUGACCUUAUUUCAUCUAUUGCUUUGAGCUUGAAUUCUCAUACCAUGCACACUGGUUAGUGUCUUCAAAUGGAUAAAUGAAUUGCUCUAUUUGGCUAUUGCGAUUAUCAAACAUCUAUGCUGCAAUUGAACUGUAGCAGCAUUUAAGUUAAUGGAAAAGAGAACACAGACAUUGGUUGUUACUGAUGUUUGGACUGGAUUGCCAUUUCUUUUUGCACUUGAAACAUAUGUCUUUGUUAUCUUUAUAGAAGGAAACUAACGUUUCAUCUCUUUUUAAUAAUUUCCACUAGGCAUGCUUUUUGUAGGUUGUAUAACUUCCUUUCAAUCGUAUAUGUAUUAAGAGAUCAUAUAUGUAUUAAGAGCUAGAUGCUGUGUAUAAGUGUUUUAGAUAUACUAAACAGAAAAUAGACUAUUAGCAUGACAGUGGCACAUGAAUGCUGAGAUUUAGUUAAUUCCAGUAACAUUUCCUGGUUGACAGUUUUCCCUUCUUUAUUUUUCUUUUUUCUUUUUAAUCUUAUUGCUGAAUUUAGUAACUUGUUGACAAUUUAGUGGUUGUGAUUACAAUUUGCCUUCACAGAGAAGAUGACAGAAUAUCAGCAGCAGUUUAGUAGGGGAAAAACAAACAUUAGUCGUGAUUCUGGUAUGGUAUUUUCUUUUCAUCAUUUAUUGUUCUGAUUUAGUGUUCUAUAAUAUGCAAAUGCUUCAUAACUUUUGUUUCUUAGUGUAAAAAUUCUCUACAUAAAUAAUAGAAAUCGAGUUUUGAAUUUCAUUGGCAAUAUUUUGCAGCCAAAUGAUAGGGUCUAGACGAGCAGUCCAUUAUCAUGAUAUUAUAAUUAAUUCAAAUGUGGAGAGAUUGCCAAGGAGAUAAAACUCUAUGUUUUUAUCUACCAUAAACUUUACCUAUUGGCUGAGCUAUUAUAUACUUGGUUAUAGAUAAAACUUGAGAAGAAUGCACAUGUCCAAAGAUUUGCUACCAAGAUACAUAGAGACUGAUCCUAACUUAUAUGUCAUCAUUAAAAAGCUUAGUUCUGUUGUUCUAGAGUUUAGUUCCCACCUUUUUAUUUAUGCAACAUGUAAAAUAAAGUUCUUGAUCAUGUUAGUUUUUUUCACUGAAUAAACUCUAGAAAAGCAUAUCCAAAUGGCUCCUCGAAAAUGUCAGCGCCUUGGGGUCUUCAUGAUACUUUAUUGAUGAUUGGGCCAUUGAGAAAGUAAAAAUUAUUUUUUACUGCUUGAUAAUAUACCAUUAUUGGCUCUUUAUUUCCUGUUGUAACACUUGUUGCUCGGUCUAAAGAUGUAGAUGGACAGGUGAGCAGAAAAGUAUCAUUGCAGCGAUAUCUUGAAAAGCGAAAAGACAGGUAUCUAUACCAGCUAAGAUAUCGUUUGCUGAAUUUACUUGUAAUCUCAAUUUACAAACCAGCAGAGCUAUAUCAUUUUGCACAAUUUGGUAUCUGAAUAAAAAGAAAAAAAAUUACAAUUAAGUAUCCAAAAUUUACUUCCGUCACUUGCUAGUCUAUGACUAUAAAUGUUUUAAAGACAUGCUAGUUUUUUGAACAGUAUAAAAAUGCGAGACAUGGUAAUUUUAUUCGUUCAGCAUUUUUAAAAUAUUUUAUUUUAAAAAUGAUUUUUUUAUCUUAGUUUCACUCUUUUGAAUUAGAAAACAUAACAAAUUUAAUUUCUAUUUUGGAUUAAACUAUUUUAAUUCUUUGAAUUUUUGAAAAGAAAAUUAAAAGAGGAGAAUCAGGAAAAAAGGAGAGAGAGAGAGAGAGAAGGGGAGAGAAGGGGAAAGGGUGCUGGCCAGCCCAAGGUAUUCUUGCCCUCUAUCUUCCUCAUUUUUCUCUUCCGCUUUUCUUCCCCAGCCUGCCGCCAAUCUUGUUAUCUCGAAGCAGACCCAUGGCAGAUUGGUCCUUUCUCUCUUUUUUUCCCUAGAAUUUUUAUUGAUUUUAUAAUUCUAAGUUUUUAGCUUAUUAUUUUGAAAUUUGAAAAAUAGUUUGUUGACCUUGAAAUGCUGAUAUGGCAUUGAUUUUGGCAGACGACCUUCUAUUAUUAGACCUACGUUGGCAUUAUGUAAUGAUGUUAGCCACUUGAGUAACUUGACAGAGAUACACAUUUGGGUACUUAACUGAGAAUUUUUUUUCUUUAGGUCCCAAAUCACGAAAGGGGUAUACUUCAACCACCUAUUAAUGUAUUAACCCUUAGAAUAUAUUUCUGGAUUACAUGUAUUAACCCUUAGAAUAUAUUUUUGGAUUAUUCUUCUGUUAGGGGAAGAUUCUUUAAAGGCAGGAAAAAUGCAGGACAAACUUUGUCUAGCUCGGAGAUGUACCUGAACCAUCAGAUAAGAGCUAACUACUUAAAUGGACAAACAAAUCGGAGCAGAACAAGUUCUCCACCACAGUCUGGAAUGCCACAUGCAUUUUAUAGCUCAGCUGACAACCAAGAGCUUGUGAAUUUUUCUGUAGAUCUCAAUGAUGAAGGUAAGUUUUGAAGUAAUCUUUACAUUUUUGUAUGAUGUAAAGAUGCUACGUAGUUUGCAGUCACACCUAGUACUGCACUAUACUUGAUGUUUAAUCAUAUAAUCGUGUAAAUGUCUGGUUCUUGUAAAAAUUGUGGCUGAAGGAUGCCCAUAUUAACACACGCACACGCACACGCACACAGACAUAUAUGAUAUUGUAUAGUUGCUGUGGGGCAGUUUUGAUGAUCUUUUUUCAAACAAAAACAAAAAAGGUUUUGACUCUCUGUCUGGGCAAAUAGAUGAGCCACGUUUCUGAAGAAUAAUCCAAUAAUUUUGCAAGUGUUAAAAUUCUGUUAGAUUUUAAGUUACAACCGGCUAUACCAUAGUUUAUUUUGGGGUUCUAUUUGGGGUAUGUCUCUAACAUAUUUCUUUGAUUUGGAUAAUGUUUAUAUCUUCUAAUUGCUCAUUAAUUAUUCACAUAGUUACUCUCCAGUUAGCCUUUAGAGUAUGGGCGGAAGAAUCUUACUGUGGUAUGAUUUCCAUGCAGGUGGUCAAGAACAUUGAAAUUCAGUCUUUUAUGCAUCAAAAGUACAUUCAUUGGGAUUUGAGUGAAGAGAUGCGUUCUUUAGGUGCAUUACCCACAGCGGACGUAGGAGAGGAAUAAGUAACUGGAGAGGGCCUUUGACAUGCCUGCAUAUGUAUAUAAAUAUAUAAAUAAUAUUUAUAUAUCAUGAUUUGGCUUGUAUGGGUCGAGUUCCUUACUCGGACAGACUCUUGUUUUGAGUGGUAUGAUGAAGUUGCACAAUUUUCUGAUCAAAUUUUGCAAAGCUGAGCGACCGUGUUCGGGAAUUUCUUGUUUCUGAUAUUAGGAUCUCUACGUCUUUGCUUUGAGGUAUAGGGAGCCAAAUGUAGCGGCAAGCAAUGCUUUCCUUUGCUUUAACCUUGAUAUGUAAAUUUUGUACUAAUUAUAGCUUAUUGGGGCGGGUGAACUAGCUCUUUUCCUAUCAAGGGGUUUAUAUGUAUCGUGUUUAUUACCUUCAAUUCACUUCUACUUGGCUAUGCCCAAAUGAUUCCUUGUAAAAACUUUUUUUUUUGAACUUCCCAAUUCAUUUUCUUUUUUAAACAAUAGCAUAAAUAUAAAUAAAAUAAAAACUAUUAAAUGUCUCAAAGUCUCAAACACUAAUACUACGGUAGUGUUAAUUAAUAACUAUAUAUGAAGGUUGAGCACAUGCGAUAUUUUGUGUUAUUCUUUUUGAGGGAUCUUGUGUUAAUUUUUGAAAGCUAUGUAUGAAGGUUGAUUCUUGAAUACUCAUACAGUAUGUUGUGUUAAUCUAUAGCUACUUAAGAUUUUGUUUUUCUGAAAGCUAUAUAUGAAGGUUGAAUCUUGAAUCCUGGGGAUUCGAUCGUUUAAUUGUUAAAUAUUUAUGUAUUUCCGUCUUACUUUGUUCAGUAGUGAAGGAGAAAAUGACUUCACGCUAAUGGCUUCAUGAAAAGUUGGCAUUAGGUAUGUAAGAAAUUAAUAGGGUAUAUUAGUUGCUCAACGUGUUAUUUGUCUACGUGUUAUUUGUCUAUUUGUCUGAGCUCUUUUUCUCGGGGUAUUGUGAUUAUGUUUGAUUUUAUAUGAAAACAUUGAUGGUGUGAUUGUUUCAUGAAAAAUGUUUAUUCAAUUUAAUAAUUUCAUGUUAUUCUCAUUUUGAAGAGCUUACUCCAACGAUUUUUAAUCACAUUUUCUUAUUGUACAAAUGACACUUUAAUGUCAAAAUUUUCUUCAUAUACUUUGUUAGAAUUAAAUGACCCGAAUCCUUAUUUAAAUAAAAUACAGUGAUAACAUAAAAUACAAGUAAAAUCCAUAUAGAACUACACUUCUUUUAUUUUAUUUUAGAAUUAAACCUUAUUAAACUCUAUCUAUUUUAUUUUGAUUAGAAUAAGGUGUUUCAAUCUUACUAGAAUAUGGCUUUACAAGCCUAUAAAUAGACAUAGUCUAUUCCUCUUGUAAUUAUUCGAAUUCUACAUAGUGAAUUUUCUUCUCCUCUGCCCGUGGUUUUUUUUCCCGAAAGGGUUUCCACGUAAAAUCUGUGUUAUUUUAUUUUAUUUUAUUUUCACAAAUUGGUAUCAGAGCUUCUGGGUAAUUCAUCUCGAUCACGGUAAUAGCGUAUUUGAAGUAUGAAAUUUCGCUGUUGGAUCGCAACACCAGAUUUGCGUUCUGGCAGAUUAAGAUGCAAGCAGUUCUUGUGCAGAUGGAUCUGGAGGAUACCCUGCUAGGGAUAGAUAAGAUGCCUUCGACAUUAACAGAUGAAGAGAAUAAGCGUAAGGAUCGAAAGGCAUUAACACAAUUACAUCUGCAUUUGUCCAACGAAAUUUUGCAGGAUGUGAUGAAGGAGAAUACCACCGCUGCAUUAUGGAAGAGGCUGGAACAAAUAUGUAUGCCAAAAACUCUAACAAGCAAGUUGCAUAUGAAGCAGCGUCUUUAUGCUCAUCGUUUGGAGGAAGGUGCAUCUGUACACGAACACUUAACAGUGUUUAAAGAAAUUCUCUUAAAUUUGGAGGCCAUGGAGGUUUAGUAUGAUAAGGAAGAUCUAGGGUUGAUUCUACUUUGUUCGUUGCCCCCAUCUUAUUCAACCUUUAGAGACACGAUUUUAUAUAGCCGCGAGUCUCUCACAGUUAAUGAGAUUUAUGAUUCUUUGACCUCGUAUGAUAAGAUGAAGCAUCUUAUGGUUAAACACGACUCUUAAGGAGAGGGUCUCAUUGUUUGUGGGAGACAAGAUCGGAAUGCUGAUGAUGAUUGUGGAAGGACAUAGGAACAGAAUCCUCGCGAUAAAUCUAAGGGUAGAUCGAAGUCUUCAAACAGAGGUAAAACUUGUAACUUCUGCAAGAAGAAAGGGCACAUUAAAUCUGAGAGCUAUAAGCUAUAGAACAAGAUUAAAAGAGAGGAUGCGAAUCAAAAGUGAAAACAACCAAAAAAUUUUGAUGAAGCUGAUUUUGUAGAAGACUACAGCGAUGGUGAUCUUCUAGUCGCUUCUGUCAACAAUUCUAAAGUGAGCGAGGAGUGGAUACUUGAUUCAGGCUACACCUUCCACAUGAGUCCAAAUCAGGAUUGGUUUACAACUUACGAAACAGUGUCUGAAGGUGUUGUUUUGAUAGGAAAUAAUGCUUCAUGUAAAAUCGUAGGUGUUGGACCAAUUAAAGUUAAGAUGUUUGAUAGAGUUGUCAGAGCACUUAGUGACGUAUGACAUGUUCCAGAAUUGAAGAGAAAUUUAAUUUCGUUGAGUACUCUUGAUUCAAAAGGGUACAGAUACACAACUAAAAAUGGAGUUUUAAAGAUUUCCAAAGGUUUCCUUAUUGUGAUGAAAGGACAGAGAAAGACUACCAAGUUAUAUAUUUUGCAGUGUUCUACUGUUACUGGUGAUGCAGCUAUCGCUUCCUCUUCCUUGUUAGAUGCUGAUAUUACUAAACUUUGGCAUAUGUGCCUCAGGCAUAUGAGUGAGAAUGGCAUGGUAAAAUUGAGCAAAAGAGGACUUUUUGAUAGGUAAGGAAUUUGCAAACUGAAGUUCUUUGAGCACUGUGUUUUUGGGAAGCAAAAGAGAGUUCGAUUCACCAGACGAAUCCAUAACAUGAAGGGAAUGUUAGAGUAUAUUCAUUCUGAUCUGUGGGGGCCAUCUAGAGUGCCUUCAAGAGGUGGAACUAAAUAUAUGCUAACUUUUAUUGAUGAUUUUUCUACACAAGUUUAGGCGUUCUUCCUUAAGAAAAAAAGUGAUGUGCUUUCUGCAUUUAAGUCUUGGAAAAUUAUGAUUGAAAAACAAAUGGGAAAACAAAUAAAAUACCUCUGUACAGAUAAUGGUUGUAACAUCCAAAAAUAGGGCCUAAAUAGAAUAGUGGUUGUGAAACCACGAAUUCGAGAUAGAAAAGUUUAUUCUGAUUAAUUUAUAUAAUUUACCUAGUGAUUAGAUGCAUGUGUUAGAGUAUCGAUGAAAAAAUUUAUAGAUAGCAUGCUUAAUUUACCUACUAGAGCUUAAUUGCAAAAGUUGAUAACUAUGAGUUUUAGAUGCUAAAGGAUUAAAUUGAAGAGUAUAAUUGAAGUAGAGGUCCCUAAAUGGUAAUUAGACCAUUAGGUUUUCAUGGAAAAAAAUGGACAUACAUAGAUAAAAAUAACUAAAGUUUUAAUGAAGGGUAUUUUAGUCAUUUGGUAAUUAAAAGAUUAAAAAAGGGAAAAAGAUGGCAAAUUGUGCCCAUCUUCUUCAUUAGGCUGAAAUUUCAAGGGUUUUUCAUAGCUAGGGUUUUUUCAAGCUUCCAAGCUUCAUAGUAAGUGAUUCCAAGCCCUGUUUUUAAUGUUUUUUACGUUUUUGAAGUCCCGGUAACUUAAUUUAGCUUAUUCUAGCAAUAAUUUAACCUAGGGUUCAUAUUUGGAAAAAUACCCAUAGGUGAAAUGUGUUUAUUUUGAUGUUUUAUGGUAGAAUAUGAAGCUUGAAAUUAUGUUAAACGACUUGAGCUAAGCGAUUUUAAGCGAAAACGAGUAAAACGACAUAAUCGGUAAAAAUACCUAAUGGUCAUAAGUACAUGUUAGAGUGGGAAUUUGAUGUUUUUGUAGGUAAAUAAAUGAUCAGCAUGUCAUAAAACAUAAGAAUUAGGGAUAAAGUUUCAUUUCCGAGCCUUAGGGAAAAAGUGUAAAUAUGCAAAAUUUUAGGGGUAAAAUUGUAAUUUUUCCAAAGUUAGAGUUAAGGACUGUUUUGAUAAAUGUGAAUAUUAAAUAAUUUAGAUCAAGAAGAAUGAAAUUCGAGGUUAGACAGAGGAAGGAAAAAUGUUGAGGACUAAAUCAAAAUAUUUGAUCGUAUUUUGUAUCGAGGUAAGUUUGCGAUAAAUAAAUGCAGUGUUUUAUUAUUUAUAAUUAUUGAUGUUAUUUUUCAACAUUUAUAUAUCUAUUUUUUAAAUUUAUUCCAUGAUGAUUCAAGUAAGAAUUGACAGAGAAAUGAUACUUAAAAGUUUCGGUUGAAGCUUAGGAAUGUGUAGGAUACAAAUGUUAUGACAUUAGGGUUUAAGGAUACAAAGUAAGACCAUGCCAAUGCAUGGCAUUGGUAAGUUUUACAAGGCAAGGAAAUCAUGUAAGACCAUGUCACGACAUGGCAUUGAUAAACUAUUAUAAGGCAAACAUCCCAUGUAAGACCAUGCCAAGGCAUGACAAUGGUGAGUUCAUAAGGCAAGGAUACCACGUAAGACCAUGUCAAGACAUGGCAAUGGUAAGUUUAAAAAGGAAAGGUACCCGUGUAUCCUUAGUAUUUCAAAUGGUUCAAAGAAAGAUUUAAAGAGUGUACCAAAGGGACGGUAAGAUAAGUCCAUGUUUGAAAGGUUCAGGUUAUCUUGAUAAUUCAUUUAGAAUGUUGUUAUUUAUUUACAUGCAAACUUACUAAGCUUUAUGCUUACUCCCUUUCUUUUCUAUCCUUUUUAUAGUAUCGCAAAGCCAACUUGGAAAAUCUUAAGGACGUUGGAGAUCGCCUCACACUAUCAACGAGCUAUCUCGGUAUUUUGUGACUAGAAAUACUUUAAGUUAUGGCAUGUAUAGGGACUUGGCUAUUCUGUGUGUAUGUCCUUAUGAUAUGAUUAAAGAAUGGCAUGUGAAUACUUGGUAAUGAUUAGCUUAUGAUAUAGCUAAAUAAGAACAUGUUUUGGUAUUAUGUAUGCCUAAAUGAGGUUUGAUGCAAAGAAAUUAUGAAGGAGUAAGAGUUGGCCAUGGAACAGUUAGGAAACAACAAUAGCGAUGUGGAUUUGAAAAAUCACUAAAAAAUGUAGAAAUGGAAUUAAAUGGGGAAUGAGAUAUGGAAUUAAAUAUUAUUGAGUCUAUUUUCUUAAAAAAGAAAAAGAGCAAGCAAAGGAAGUCUAUAUUAUGAGAUAUUUAAAUUUUUAUAAGACUGGUUCAGAGUGACUUUGUGAUCCCCUAUUCCAACUUUAUAAAAUCACUAGAAAUUGUACAAAAAGAAUUAUAAGUCAUAGUUUAUAUUUCUAGAUUACUUAGUGAGUCUAUUUGCAUUAUAAAUAAACAGAAACAUUAUAUAAAUUUUUUAUAAUGAGAUAAUUAAUUUUUAGUGAAGAGAGGUCAGGUCUGCUGAACUGCAAAAUAGGGGAACCUUUAAUAAAUAAAAUGUACAAAUUGGCCAAACUAAAAAUUCUGGAAAAAUUAUGGUAAGAGGAUAUAUGAGUCUGGUUUCAGGGAAAGUUUACGGAUUUAAAUAUUGUGUUUUUUAACUUGAAUUAUAAUUAAUUUAGUGACUAUUACGCAGAUAGAUAGCUUUAUUAUAAAUAGUGAAAGAAAUUGUUUUGAUUUAUGUAAGUAAUUGGAAAAUUUUUUAAUGUUCCAGGUUUGGUCCCGAACCGUACCAAUUGCAUGUUUUAGGGUCUCGAAGGCCCUUUUUAGGGAUUUAUUGGAUGAAUGCGAGCGAAUAAAUUUUUAAAAAAAUUUAUGCCCUGAACAAGUAAGAUAAGUCUGGUAACGCCUCAUGCUCGACUCCGGUGACGGUCUCGGGUAUAGGGUGUUACAUUUAUUGGUAUCAGAGCAAGAGUUUAGUCGGUUCUUGGAAUAUUCAAUACGAGUAAGAGUCUAGCUAUACAUGCCAUACUUAUAUUUUGAUAGUGUGACGACUCCCGACCAUUUUAAAAUUUUUUUCUUUUAUAGUUAUGGAUCCCGAACGAGUUGGUGCAAAUGAUGUAGAAAGUAACGCGCCCGCUCCCACAAAAGGGACAGUGCCACCAGAUAGUAGUGAAAGGUCCGUUAUAGCUAGUCAGAGAGGAGGGGCUCGAGAAGCCUUCUUCCAAGCUAUGAAUGAAUGGUUUGUUGAGUUCGUUCGUACGAAUCUGGCCGUUAGAACUCCACCCCCUCAUGACCCUCAGACUACCCAUGUAGCUUACCCAGUCACAGAUACAGUUAGAAGAGAGAAGCCACUAGUUGAUAAAAGUAGGAAACAAGGGGCCAAAGAGUUUCGGGCUACUAAAGAUGACGAUACAGAGAAAACUGAAUUUUGGCUCGAGAAUACUAUCAGGGUCUUUGAUGAGUUAUCCUGCACACUUGAAGAGUGCAUGAAGUGUGUUGUAUCACUUUUAAGAGACUCGACCUACCAUUGGUGGAAGAUACUUGUGUCAGUAGUACCAAAAGAGAGGGUUACUUGGGAUUUCUUUCAGGAGGAGUUCCGUAAGAAAUACAUUAGUCAGAGGUUCAUCGACCAGAAAAGAAAAGAAUUCCUUGAACUAAAGCAGGGUAAGAUGACAGUGACAAAAUAUGAACGUGAAUUUGUCAAAUUUAACAAUUAUGCUCGAGAGUGUGUGUCUACUGAAGCUAUUAUGUGCAAGAGAUUUGAAGAUGGGCUCAAUGAUGAUAUUUGACUAUCAGUCAGUGUUUUAAAAAUAAAAGAGUUUGUUAUUUUAGUUGAAAGAGCUUGUAAGGCAGAGGAGGUGCUGAAAGGAAAGGGCAAAGCUGAAAUUGAAAUGCAAGACACGAAGAAAAGAUAGAUGAGCAAGUCGUUUUAGUCUACAUCCAAGAGGCCUAGAGAGUUCUCUACGAGAUCUAAUUUUUUAGCAAGGUAUUCUAGCCGAAAUAGAGGUAGAAGAUUUAUGGGUUAGAAAGCUCAGACCACUUCAAUUGUGAGUGUUGGUAGUAUUCAACCUGAUAGACCCGAGUGUCCUCAAUAUGGUCGACGUCAUCCAAGUCAAUGUUGAGCAACUGAGAUUGGUUGUUUCUGAUAUGGUGCAUCGGAUCAUUUCAUUCGGGAGUGUCCUGAGAUGGUUAAAAGAGAAGUAAUACCGAGUGUAAGAUCAGACAAUACCUCCGUUAGAGGCAGACCUCAGAGAAGUUCGGGAAUAGGGGCAGGUAGAGGUGCAUCUAGAGAUUCAGCAACGAGACCAGAUGUUUGAACACCUGCAAGGACCUAUGCUAUCCGUGCUCGUGAAGAGGCAUCCUCCCCCGAUGUAAUUACGGGUACAUUUUCUCUUCAUGAUGUUAAUGUUAUUGCUUUGAUUGAUCCGGGUUCGACCCAUUCCUAUGUUUGCAUGAAAAUUGAUGCCUAGUAUGAAUAUGUCCAUAGACUCUACGGGAUUUGUGAUUAAAGUAUCGAAUCCAUUGGGUCAGUAUGUAUUAAUAGACAAAGUAUGUAAAAAUUUCCCUUUGAUGAUUAGAGGUUACUGUUUUCAAGCUGAUCUCAUGCUAUUGCCAUUUGAUGAGUUUAAUGUGAUUCUUGGUAUGGAUUGGUUGACUGUGCAUGAUGUGAUAGUGAAUUGUGGAAAGAAAUUCAUUGAGUUGAAAUGCGAAAAUAGUGAAAUUCUUCGGGUUAAUUCAAAUGAGUCAGAUAGUUCAAUUGCCAUGAUUUCUAUUAUGUCUGCUUAGAAAUGCUUGAGAAAAGGAUAUGAAACUUAUCUUGCUUUUGUGUUGAAUACUAAAGAUCUAGAGUUGAAAAUUGAAUCAGUGCCUAUGGUAUGUGAGUUUUCUGAUGUGUUUCCGGAAGAACUACCAGGUUUGCCUCCUAUCAGAGAAGUUGAGUUUGGUAUUGAAUUGGUUUCGGGUACAACACCCAUUUCUGUUGCUCCUUAUAGAAUGGCUCCAAUGGAAUUGAGAGAAUUGAAAGUUCAGUUGCAGGAACUAAUAGAGAAAGGCUUUCCAAGACGUAGUUGUUCACCAUGAGGUGCACCAAUGCUCUUUGUGAAAAAGAAAGAUGGUUCGAUGAGAUUGUGCAUAGAUUAUCGGUAGCUUAACAAGAUGACUAUUAAGAACAAGUAUCCACUGCCUAUAAUUGAUGAUUUUUUUGAUCAAUUUAAGGGAUCUACUAUGUUCUCCAAGAUAGAUUUGAGAUCCAGAUAUUAUUAGUUGCGAGUUAAAGAGUCAGAUGUUCCUAAAACUACUUUCCGAACUAGGUAUGGCCAUUAUGAGUUCCUUGUGAUGCCAUUUGGCUUGACUAAUACUCCUGCCAUUUUCAUGGACUUAAUGAAUUAGAUUUCCAGACCUUACUUGGAUAAAUUUGUAGUUGUGUUUAUUGAUGAUAUCUUGAUUUAUUCUCAUGAUAAGAUUGAGCAUCCAGAGCAUUUGAGAACAGUUUUACAGACUUUGAGAGAUAAUCAACUUUAUGCCAAGUUUAGCAAAAGUGAGUUCUAGUUACGGGAAGUUGGUUUUCUUGGACAUAUAGUCUCAGGUAAAGGUAUUAGAGUUGAUCCGAGCAAGAUUUCAGCUAUUGUUGAUUGGAAGCCUCCCAGGAAUGUAUUAGAGCUCAGAAGUAUUCUUGGUCCCGCAGGUUAUUAUAGAUGAAUGUAGAGGGAAUUUCCAUGAUAGAUACUCCAUUGACAAGAUUGCUACAGAAAGAUGGCAAGUUUGAAUGGACUAAAAAGUGUCAGCCGAGUUUUGACAAGUUAAAGGCAUUGUUGAUUGAAGCUCCUGUCUUAGUACAAUUAGAACUGAGUAAAGAGUUUGUGAUUUACAGUGAUGCUUCCUUGAAUGGACUAGGCUGUGUACUUAUACAGGAAGGAAAGGUAAUUGCUUAUGCCUCUAGACAGCUAAAGCCACAUGAGAAAAAUUAUCUGAUACAUGAUUUAGAACUAGUUGCCAUUGUAUUUGCGUUGAAAAUCUGGAGACAUCACUUGUAUGGGGAGAAGUGACAAAUAUUUACUGAUCAUAAAAGUUUGAAAUACUUGAUGACUUAAAAUGAUUUGAACUUGAGGCAAAAAAGAUGGCUAGAGUUGACUAAUGAUUAUGAACUAGCGAUCGAUUAUCACCCGGGUAAGGCAAAUUUAGUUGCUGAUGCUUUGAGAAGAAAAUCUUUAUUUGCAUUAAGAGCUUUGAACACUAGUUUAACCUUAUCGGAUGAUGGUUCUAUCUCAGCCGAAUUAAGAGCUAAGCUAAUGUUUGUUGAAGAGAUUUUUGAAGUUCAGAAAGAUGACAGUGUGUUGCAAGCCAAAAGAGCUCAGUGUGAGUUGGGUAUAGAGUCAGAUUUUCAGAUCAGUUCUGAUGGUUGUUUAAUGUUCAGAAAUCAGAUAUGUAUACCAAAGAAUGAUGAGCUAAUUCAAAAGAUUUUAGAGGAAGCACGUAGCAAUUCCUUGUCUAUUCAUCCAGGUAGUACAAAGAUGUAUAAUGAUUUGAAGAAAUAUCUCAGAGUUUGUUUCUAGAUGCUUGAUCUGUCAGUAGGUAAAAGUCGAACAUCAGGUACCUUCAGGUUUAUUGUAGCCUGUGUUAGUUCCAGAGUGGAAAUGAGAUUGAGUUUCCAUGGAUUUUGUAACAGGAUUGUCGUUGACACCGAGAAAGAAAGAUGUAGCAUGGGUUGUGAUUGAUAAGCUAACAAAUUCACUUAUUUUAUUCCAGUUUGUAUGGAUUAUUCACUUGACAAGUUGGCUGAGUUGUAUAUUUUAGAGGUAGUUAGACUACAUGGAGUACCAUUAUCGAUUAUUUCAGAUAGAGACCCGAGAUUCACUUUGCGAUUUUGGAAGAAGUUACAGGAAGCUUUAGGCACAAAGUUGAGUUUUAGUACAGCUUUCCAUCCUCAGACCGAUGGUCAGUCAGAGAGAGUUAUUCAGAUACUUGAGGAUAUGCUCAGAUGUUGUGUCUUAGAAUUUUAAGGUAGUUGGGAGAAAUAUUUACUGUUGGUAGAGUUUGCUUAUAAUAAUAGUUACCAGUCGAGUUUGAAAAUGGCACCUUAUGAAGCUUUGUAUGGACGUAAAUGUCGUACACCUUUGUAUUGGACAGAGCUUAAAGAAAAUCAGAUUUACGGGGUUGAUUUAGUUAAAGAAACUGAAGAGAAAGUGAAAGUUAUCAGAGAUUGCUCGAAAGCAGCUUCAAAUAGACAGAAGUCUUAUGCAGACUUGAAAAGAAAAGAGAUUGAGUAUCAAGUUGGUGACAAAGUUUUCUUGAAAGUAUCCCCGUGGAAGAAAGUCUUUAGAUUUGGCAAGAAAGGCAAACUAAGUCCACGUUUUAUUGGACCGUUUGAGGUGACUGAAAGAGUUGGACCAUUAGCAUAUCAGUUAGCUUUGCCGCCAGAGUUAGAGAAGAUUCAUGAUGUGUUCCAUGUGUCCAUUUUAAUUCAUUACCAUUCUAAUCCUUCACAUGUGAUUUCACAGACAGAGGUUGAGAUUCAGCAAGAUAUGAAUUAUGGUGAAGAACCGGUAAAAAUUUUAGCUGAGAGGUCAAGCAACUAAGGAACAAAAGUAUUGCACUUGUGAAAGUAUUAUGGAAUAGGCAUGGGGUAGAUGAGGCUACAUGAGAGCUUGAAGAGGUUAUGCAAAAAUAGUAUCCAAAUCUUUUCACAGGUAAGAUUUUCAAGGACGAAAAUCCCUAAAGAGGGGAGAAAUGUAACAUCUUAAAAUAGGGCCUAAAAGGAAUAGUGGUUACAAAACCACGAAUUUGAGAUAGAAAAGUUCAUUCUGAUUAACUUUUAUAAUUUAUCGAGUGAUUAGAUGCAUGUGUUAGAGUAUCGAUGAAAAAUUUUAUAGAUAGCAUGCUUAAUUUACCUACUAAGGCUUAAUUGAAAAAGUUGAUAAAUAUGAGUUUUAGAUGCUAAAGUAUUAAAUUGAAGAGUGUAAUUGAAGUAGAGGUCCUUAAAUGGCAAUUAGACCAUUAGGUUUUCAUGGACAAAAAUGGACAUACAUAGAUAAAAAUAACUAAAGUUUUAAUGAAGGGUAUUUUAGUCAUUUGGUAAUUAAAAGAUUAAAAAAGGGGAAAAGAUGGAAAAAUGUGCCCAUCUUCUUCAUUAGGCCGAAAUUUCAAGGGUUCUUCAUAGCUAGGGUUUUGUCAAGCUUCCAAGCUUCAUAGUAAGUGAUUCCAAGCACCGUUUUUAAUGUUCUUUACGUUUUUGAAGUCCCGGUAACUUAAUUUAUCUUAUUCUAGCAAUAAUUUAAUCUAGGCUUCAUAUUUGGAAAAAUACCCAUAGGUGAAAUGUGUAAUAUGAAGCUUGAAAUUAUGUUAAACGACUUGAGCUAAGCGAUUUUAAGCGAAAACGAGUAAAACGAUAUAAUCGGUAAAAAUACCUAAUAGUCAUAAGUACAUGUUAGAGUGGGAAUUUGAUGUUGCUGUAGGUAAAUAAAUGAUCAGCGUGUCAUAAAACAUAAGAAUUAGGGAUAAAGUUUCAUUUCCGAGCCUUGGGGCAAAAGUGUAAAUAUGUGAAAGUUUAGGGGCAAAAUCAUAAUUUUGCCAAAGUUAGAGUUAAGGACUGUUUUGAUAAAUGUGAAUAUUAAAUAAGUUAAAUUUGCUAUUAUAGAUCAAGAAGAAUGAAAUUCUGAGUUAGACCGAGGAAAGAAAAAGACUGAGGACUAAAUCAAAAUAUUUGAUCGUAUUUUGUAUCGAGGUAAGUUUGCGAUAAAUAAAUACAGUUUUUAUUAUUUAUAAUUAAUGAUGUUAUUUUUCAACAUCUAUAUAUUUAUUUUGUAAAUUUAUUCCUUGAUGAUUCAAGUAAGAAUUGAUGGAGAAAUGAUACUUAAAAUUCCGGUUGAACCUUAGGAAUGUGUAGGAGACAAAUGUCAUGACAUUAGGGUUUAAGGAUACCAAGUAAGUCCAUGCCAAGGCAUGGCAUUGGUAAGUUUUACAAGGCAAGGAAAUCAUGUAAGACCAUGUCAAGACAUGGCAUUGAUAAACUACUAUAAGGCAAAUAUCCCAUGUAAGACCAUGCCAAGGCAUGGCAAUGGUAAGUUCAUAAGGCAAGGACACCACGUAAGACCAUGUCAAGACAUGGCAAUGGUAAGUUUAAAAGGAAAGGAACCCAUGUAUCCUUAGUAUUCCAAAUGGUUCAAAAAAAAAUUUAAAGAGUGUACCAAAGGGAAUGUAAGAUAAGUCCAUGUUCGAAAGGUUCAGUUUAUCUUAAUAUUUCAUUUAGAAUGUUGUUAUUUAUUUACAAGCAAACUUACAAAGCUUUAUGCUUACUUUCUUUCUUUUCUCUCCUUUUUAUAGUAUGUAACACCCCUUACCCAUAUCCAAGGCCGGAAUAGAGUACGAGGCAUUACUGGACUUAACAAUAUACAGAGACAAAAACCGGGCCAUAAAAUUUCAUUUAAUUAAAAACUUUUGGAACACAUGCAUAACAAACAAAGCUAACUAUAUCAUCACAUCAAAACAUAGGACAUGGCACGAUUAAUUAAACUUAUAAACCAUAAUGUAUAAGGACCACAUCUCAUGAUUUUAUACGAUAACUCAAUGCAGACUGAUACGUAUGGUCAAAAUCAUAAUAAAAAUACAUAUCACAAACCAACUUCCUAUACAUGCCACUCACUUGAUAUUUCUAAAAUUUGAAUUAAUUUUCCCAAAAAUGAUAAUUUGAUAGUGUGAUUUUGCCUCCGACGAUCUCCAACCCCGAGCCGACCUGCAAAUACUAAAGAAAUGGAGAGGAUGGGUAAGCUUUACGCUUAGUAAGUUCAUAUGAAAAUAAUAAGCAAUUACUACUAUGCUUUUCAAGAUAAAACACUAUAAUUGUACAAUUACACAUAUUCAGGACAGGCUAUUUUCUGGAGUCCCGGUGUUAAAAAAAAUCAUAUCUCAAGUUACAAAACUCAAAAUCCAAUUCUGUAAUUUUUUUAUGAAACUAGACUCAUAUGUAUACUUACUAAUUUUUUUUUCAAGAAUUUUUGGUUGGGCCAUUUAGUACAGUUUAUUAGUUAAAGUCUCCCCUAUUUUAGGGUAUGAUUACUCUGACCCCUGUGCACUACGAACCAAAUUUCUCCCUGUACAGAAUUCCAACGACCAUGUUGUUUGUUUCCCUUAAAAUUAGAUUCAAUAAGGAAUCCAUGCAUGUAUGGUAUGGCUCUCAAUAAUUUUUGAACAAUUUAUGGUGAAUUUUCAAAGUCAUGCACUGCUGCUGUCUAAUACCAUUUUACUACUAGAGUUCACUUUUACACAAUUUCACUUAAUCCAUUCCAUUUUACCGAGGUUCGCUAAAAUAUUGAGCAUAUUGCUCAUAAAUUCAAAUAAACAUAUACUUGCACUUGUUCAUCACAUAAUCACUUUCACAUGUAUUUUAAUUUAAUCGAUUUCCCGUUGAACUCAUAGGAAUAAUAACAGAUACAUAAUUGCCUACACAUUUUCCCAUUUCCACACUUGUAGCCGAAGCUAUCUGGUACGCAUAGCAACCUGCACUUAGUACUACAUAUGCGACCAACAGUCUGGUACACGUAGUAGCCUGCACUUAGUACUACACGCGUGACCUCACCAUCUAAUACACGUAGUAGCCUGCACCUAGUAAUACACACGUGAUCACAGUUUUCGGGUACGCAUAGUAGCCUGCACUUAGUACUACACAUGCGACCUCACAAUAGAUCAUUCGUAUCGUUUUUAUUCUGAAGGCUCAAUCGGGAAAUUCCUCACUUUUCAACAUUUUACUAAAUUGUCCGUAAUUAAUUUAAAUUCAUAAUUUACAUCAAAUAACCAUUUGAUAGGUAGCCACAUUUCAUAUGAUAUCAAAAUAUAAUAACAUAAAAAGAAUCGAUAGAUUAUUUAUGUACGAAUUUACUCGAAGUGUCGAUCUCACUACCCAUAGUACCAAUUGUACAUUCAUAGUAUAAUAAGACACAACUCAAAUAUCAAAUCAGCUUUUAAGAAUUUACAUAACAUAUAUCACAUAUUUCACAUAUCACUUGUCAUGUAUCUUCAUUUUCUUGCAUUGCAUGUAACAUUCUUUCAUGUCAUAUUUCCACAUCAUAAACACCAUUCCAUCAACUUUUCCAAUAUAUUAAAUCAUAAAAUAUAUGCAAUAAUAGUAAGAAAUAUAAUUCAAACAUAACAUUGCAUUAUUAUUAUCAUACGAACUUACCUCGAUCCUGAAACAGCAAUUUACCAUUUUAGUCCAUAACCUUGUAUUUUCCCGAUUUAAGCCCGAAUCUCGAUUUCCUUCAUCUAUAAUAUCACAUUUAGCCUAAUAAUUAGUCACACUAUUCAUUCGAGUCCAAAAAUCAUAUUUUUAAAACUUUUCAUUUUGACCCCUAAACUUUUGCACAUUUGCACUUUUACCUCAAGGUUCGGAAAUUAAACUUCAUCCUAUUUUCUUAUGUUUUAUGAAAUGUUGAUCAUUUUUCCCUUCUAUGGAAACAUCAAAUUCUCACUCUAACAUGUACUUAUGACUAUUAGGUAUUUUUACCGAUUAAGCUGUUUUGCUCGUUUUCACUUAAAACUGAGUAGCACAAGUUGUCUAACAUAAUUUAAAACCUCAUAUUCUAUCAUAAAACACCAAAAUACACAAAUUUCACCUAUGGGUAUUUUUCCAAAUAUGAACCCUAGGUUGAAUUAUUGCUAGCAUAAGCUAAAUCAAGUUAUCGGGACUCUAAAAACGUAAAAAUCAUUAAAAACGAGGCUAGAACGGACUUACAAUCGAGCUUGGAAUCUUGGAAACCCUAGCCAUGGAGUAUCCCUUGGCAUACACAUCCAUGGUGAAGAAGAUGAGAGCAAAAUUGGCUUUUAAUUUUGUAUUUUAAUUCAUUUUACCCCUGAAUGACCAAAAUGCCCUUACUACUAAACUUUCCAAAAAUUCCAUUCAUGUCCAAUAUUUGUCCAUAAACUUUGAAAUUGGUCAAAUUGCUAUUUAAGACCUCCUAAUUAAUAUUUCAAAGAAAUUUCAUACUAAAAACUUCUAGAAUGCAAGUUUUGCAACUUAUUCAAUUAGUCCCUAACUUCAAAUUAAGCACUUUAUGCAUAGAAUUUCUUCACGAAAUUUUCACACAAUCAUGCAAUCAUAUCAUAGACCUCAAAAUAAUCAUAAAAUAAUUAUUUCUAUCUCGGAUUGGUGGUCACAAAACCACUAUUCUGAUUAGACCCUGAUUCGGGAUAUUACAAUUCUCCCCCCUUUUAGCGAUUUUCGUCCCCGAAAAUCUUACCAGAAAAGUGGUUUUCGCUUAGAUUCCUCAAUUUCAUAUUCAGUGUUGAAGAACUUUCACUUAGGCGGUGCCUCCUAUAUAUCUCUUUAAUUUCUCAUAUAUUUUGAAAUUCAUUAGCAGAAGUCGAUCCUCACUGUACUCUUUUAGUUUGCUACUCACUAUCACAUUUUCCUCUUUCCGCUACGGAAGUAAUUCUGAUAUAACCUCGAAAAUAAUCCUUUCUUCUAGUUACAAAACAAUUCAUCAUGCCAUCCUUUACUUACGUUAAUCAAAACCGUCUCAAUUGCAUUAGCUCAAGUACCAAAAUAUCUCAAUUGAAGACAUUAACUAUAAUUGACUUACUUGAGAGAAGUAAUCCACCAUACCGAUUGAAAAUCGCACUUUUAUCACUUAUACCUUUACUGUUGUCAAACCUUACACGAAAAUUAGAAAAAUCCCAAUACUGAAAUCACCACAUCACCCAAAUCAAAUCAGAAGUAUAGCCAUACUUGACAUGAUUAUCACGAGCUGAAGAAUGCACUCUGAACAUGAGUCAUAGUUGACAAAUUACGGAAUAAAGAUAACAAGAAAACCGAAUAAAGAAACCUAAGAUAGAAAAACCCAGAAUAAAGAAACCCAAGAUACGAUACUAUGCCGGAAAAUUGAAAACCAAACUCAUAGGAAAAUAUAGAAGAUCCCGAUAAUUCCUCAGAUAAAAGAAAUCCAGUAGAAAACCUCAUUUAGACUCACUGGAAUCAAAUGCAACAAGAACAAUGUAUCUUCCCAUAUAUAUACAGAUCAAAUGGAGCAUUAAGUAGAAGAAACAGAAUCAUAGUAUCAUACAUAUUCUCUCAUCAAUUUUUUUUUAUCAGGCAGAAUAUAAUAGAAUGCCCAAAGGAAUAGAGCAAUAUAAAUUAUAAACCAGUCAAGCUACCAAUGCUUUCAUUUAACAUCAGGAUUAGAAAACAUCCCCAUAUAACAAGAAUUUCUUUAAAAGAUCAAUAAUCAUAGAAAUAUUUUUGGGAACGGAUAAACACAUAGAACAUCUUAGACGAAACUGCUAAAAUCUGUCCAACCGUAACUGUCACAGUCAGAUAUUACACAUUUCAGAUAUCAUUUCCCCAACUAUUUCUGCCAUCACAAAUUUCAUAUUACUUUUCACUUAAGAAGACUAGUUCUGAAUAAAUUUUUAUUUGCACUUUUCUCGACCUUGUACCUUAGUAAUUCGAUUUAUCAAAAUAAAUUUCUUCUCUAACUGGAAUAGUGCAUAACUCCAAUAAUCCUUAUGCCAAUCUGAUACUUUUCUAGCUUUGACUUUACUUAUCAAUUCAUUCUUCAAUCUCUAAUUAUAUUUAUAAUUAUUCUAGCACUGAACUCUUUGGUUUCUCAACCGGAAACUUAUUCAAUAUAAAUCUCAUGAAAUUCCAUUAUAAAACACCACUUUGGUAAGGGGAAAGGGGUUGUAGGGCCACUGAUUCAACUCUUAUAUACAUAUACAUGUAACACAGUUUUCUUCAUAGCAAUCAUAUCUCAAUCAUGUUAUUCAUUUCGAGUAACUAACAUUCAUAUUGAUGUAAUGCUCACUUUCCAGUUAUCUGAUUUAGUCAAGUAUAAUUAUGCAUGCAUCCUAUGUUUUCUGGAUAGCUUGACUUAUCCAUUCAUCUACUCGAACAAAUCAUACUCAUGACAUCAUAUAAGGGUUAAACAAACAUAGAUAUUUAUAUCACAAUCACAACUUUCGUUUCGUGCAUCAUCAUAUACAUAUAAUUACAAUCACAUAAUUCAGUCCAAACAAUUUAACAUAGAUAAAUUCAUUUCAUUAUAGUCAUUUAUCUCAUAAAAAUAUCAUUGACAUUCAUCAACAUUCAACGUUCAAUCAAGGAAAUGACAUUUUCAUUCAUAUCAUGAUAUUAGGAACUUUUACUCAUACUUCUACGAAUUUCUGUUUAUCCCGUUCAUCUUAUCAAGUAAGCCAAGUGCACUACAUCAUAUGAGCAUUAAGCAAGUAUGAAUAUUUAUCACAACAUGACCUUUCAUCUCACGUGUUAUCACUUAUAUAUAUCAUAAACUUUUAUUCAUACUUUUCUAAAUUGAGACUCAUCAUAAUCGUAAUUUUAUUCAAACACCUUCGCAUCACAUUGAACAUGAGCAGUGCAGCUUGGUUGGAGAGUACCUCUGUCUAAGCAAGACGGUGCUCAUACGUGUCGGGAGACAUCACACUAUCACGGAUCAGUGGCAUGUAUAGCUGGACUUUUACACAUGCUAGGUUAGUCCGAGAACCGACUAAGCCAUAGCUCUAAUACCACUAAAUGUAACACCCCUUACCCGUAUCCAAGGCUGAAACAGAGUACGAGGUAUUACCAGACUUAACAAUACACAUAGACGAAAACAGGGCCAUAAAAUUUCAUUUAAUUCAAAACUUUUGGAACAUAUGCAUAAGAAACAAAGCUAACUAUAUCAUCACAUCAAAACAUAGGACAUGGCACGAUUAAUUAAACUUAUAAACCAUAAUGGAUAAGGACCAAAUCUCAUGAUUUUAAACGAUAACUCAAUGCAGACUAAUACGUAUGGUCAAAAUCAUAAUAAAAAUACAUAUCACAAACCAACUUCCUAUACAUGCCACUCACUUGAUAUUUCUAAUAUUUGAAUUAAUUUUCUCAAAAAUGAUAGUUUGAUAGUGUGAUUUUGCCUCCGACGAUCUCCAACCCCGAGCGACUUGCCAAUACUAAAGAAAUGGAGAGGAUGGGUAAGCUUUACGCUUAGUAAGUUCAUAUGAAAAUAAUAAGCAAUUAAUACCAUGCUUUUCAAGAUAAAACACUAUAAUUAUACAAUUACACAUAUUCAGGACAGGCUAUUUUCUAGAGUCCCGGUGUUAAAAAAAUCAUAUCUCAAGUUACAAAACUCGAAAUCCAAUUCCGUAAAUUUUCUAUGAAACUAGACUCAUAUGUCUACUUACUAAUUUUUUUCUAGAAUUUUUGGUCGGGCCAUUUAGUACAGUUUAUUAGUUAAAGUCUCCCCCUAUUUCAGGGUAUGACUACUCUGACCCCUGUGCACUACGAACCGAAUUUCUCCCUGUACAGAAUUCCAACGACCAUGCCGUUUGUUUCCCUUAAAAUUAUAUUCAAUAAGGAAUCCAUGCAUGUAUGGUAUGACUCUCAAUAAUUUUUGUACAAUUUAUGGUGAAUUUCAAAGUCAUGCACUGCUGCUGUCUAAUACCGUUUUACUACUAAAGUUCACUUUUACACAAUUUCACUUAAUCCAUUCCAUUUUACCGAGGUUCACUAAAAUAUUGAGCAUAUUGCUCAUAAAUUCAAAAAUAAACAUAUACUUGCACUUGUUCAUCACAUAAUCACUUUCACAUGUAUUUUCAUUUAAUCAAUUUCCCGUUGAACUCAUCGGAAUAAUAACAGAUACACAAUUGCCUGCACAUUUUCCCAUUUCCACACUUGUAGCCGAAGCUAUCUGGUACGCAUAGUAGCCUGCACUUAGUACUACACAUGCGACCAACAGUCUGGUACACGUAGUAGCCUGCACUUAGUACUACACACGUGACCUCACCAUCUAAUACACAUAGUAGCCUGCACUUAGUACUACACACGUGAUCACAGUUUUCGGGUACGCAUAGUAGCCUGCACUUAGUACUACACAUGCGACCUCACAAUAGAUCACUCGUAUCGUUUUUAUUCCGAAGGUUCAAUCGAGAAAUUCCUCACUUUUCAACAUUUUACUAAAUUGUCCGUAAUCAAUUUAAAUUCAUAAUUUACAUCAAAUAACCAUUUGAUAGGCAGCCACAUUUCAUAUGAUAUCAAAAUAUAAUAACAUAAAAAGAAUCGAUAGAUUAUUUAUGUACGAAUUUACUCGAAGUGUCGAUCUCACUAUCCAUAGUGCCAAUUUUCCAUUCAGUAUAAUAAGACACAAAUCAAAUAUCAAAUCAGCUUUUAAGAAUUUACAUAACAUAUAUCACAUAUUUCAUAUAUCACUUGUCAUGUAUCUUCAUUUUCUUGCAUUUCAUGUAACAUUCUUUCGUGUCAUAUUUCCACAUCAUAAACACCAUUCCAUCAACUUUUCCAAUAUAUUAAAUCAUAAAAUAUAUGAAGUAAUAGUAAGAAAUAUAAUUCAAACAUAACAUUGCAUUAUUAUUAUCAUACGAACUUACCUCGAUCCAGAAAUAGCAAUUUACCAUUUUAGUCCAUAACCUUGUAUUUUCCCGAUUUAAGCCCGAAUCUCGAUUUCCUUCAUCUAUAAUAUCACAUUUAGCCUAAUAAUUAGUCACAUUAUUCAUACGGGUCCAAAAAUCAUAUUUUUAAAAAUUUUUAUUUUGACCCCUAGACUUUUUCAUAUUUGCACUUUUGCCUCAAGGUUCGGAAAUGGGUGUUUAAAAGGUUGUUCGUUGUAAAUGGGUGUUUAAAAAGAAAGAAGGGACUUCAAGAGUUGAAGAACCCAGAUAUAAAGCAAGGCUUGUUGCAAAAGGGUUACAAUCAAAUUUCAGGAGUGGACUUCAUAGAUGUGUUCUCCCCUGUUGUGGAGCACAGUUCGAUUUGAGCUUUGCUUGGUAUUGUGGCCAUGCAUGAUUUGGAGCUUGAGCAGUUAGAUGUAAAAACUGCAUUUUUGUAUGGAUAACUUGAGAAAGACAUUUACAUGCAACAACCAGAGGGUUUUAUAGUCUCAGAAAAAGAGGACUAUGUUUGCUUGCUGUGAAAGUCUCUUUACGGUUUGAAAUAGUCACCAAGACAGUGGUACAAGAGGUUUGGUUCCUUUAUGAAUACUCAUGAUUUCCAAAGAAGUAGUUUUGACAGUUGUGUUUACUUUAAGAAAAAUAGUGAUGGUUUUUUCGUUUAUCUACUUCUUUAUGCUGAUGACAUGUUGAUAGCAGCAAAAGAUAAAGAAGAGAUAAGAAAGGUCAAAGCCCAACUAAGUAAAGAAUUUGAGAUGAAAGAUUUGGAACCAGCAAAGAAGAUACUUCGUAUGGAGAUUCUCAGAGAUAAAAAAGCAAGUAAAUUGUACCUAUGUUAAAAGGGGUCCAUUGAGAAAGUUCUUUGCAGGUUCAAUAUGCAGAGUGCUAAGCCUGUUAAUACUCCUUUAGCGGCCCAUUUCAGACUUUCAUCAGCUUUGUUUCCACAAUCAGAUGAUGAGAUUGAGUACAUGUCACAUGUUCCAUACUCUAAUGUAGUGGGAUCUCUCAUGUAUGCUAUGAUUUGUUCACGUCCAGAUUUAUCAUAUGUAGUCAGUGCAGUUAGCAGAUACAUGGCGAAUCCUGGUAAAGAACACUAGAAAGCAGUUCAAUGGAAUUUAAGAUACUUAGGAGGUACUACUGAUGUCUGCUUAUAGUUAGGAAGAACUAAAGAUAGUGUCAUUGGGUAUGUUGAAGCUGAUUUUGCUGGAGACCUUGAUAGAAAAAGAUCUCUCACAGGUUAUGUCUUUACAAUCGGAGGUUGUGCAAUCAGUUGGAAAGCCACUUUGCAAACUACAGUCACUUUGUCUACCACUGAAGCUGAGUACAUGGCAAUUACUGAGGCUUGUAAAGAAGCUAUUUGGUUGAAGGGACUCUUUAGUGAACUCAAUGAAGACCUUCAAAUCAGUACAGUAUUUUGUGAUAGUCAGAGUGCAAUCUUCCUUACAAAAAAUCAAAUGUUUCAUGAGAGAACAAAACACAUUGAUGUUCGGUAUCAUUUUGUUCGUGAUAUUAUUGCUCGUGGUGAUAUUUGUGAGCAAAAUUAGUACUCAUGAAAGUCCUGCAGAUAUGAUGACUAAGUCAUUUCCUAUAACCAAGUUUGAGCAUUGCUUAGACUUGGUUGGUGUUCAUUGUUGAAGUUAAACCUUUAAGGGGUUUUAUGGAAGAGGUGGAAAACUUUUUCAUUGAGAGUUCGCGAUGAAUAACUUGUUCAUUGAGAAUUUGUGUCAAGGUGGAGAUUGUUAGAAUUAAAUGACCCGAAUCCUUAUUUAAACAAAAUAGAGUGGUAAAAUAAAAUAAAAGUAAAAUCCAUAUGAAACUACACUUCUUUUAUUUUAUUUUAGAAUAAGGUUUUUUAAACCUUAUUAAACUUCAUCUAUUUUUUAUUGGUUAGAAUAAGGCGUUUCAAUCUUACUAGAAUAUGGCUAUACAAGCCUAUAAAUAGACAUAGUCUAUUCCUCUUGUAAUUAUUCAAAUUCGACAUAGUGAAUUUUCUUCUCUUCUGCCUGUGGCUUUUUUCCCGGAAGGGUUUCCACGUAAAAUCUGUGUGUUCUUUAUUUUAUUUUAUUUUCACAUACUUGUUGUUAUCAUAUUAUUAAGCACAAUACCUAUUUAUAACCAAAUAUAAAAAAUAUUUCACAUUUUUGUUGACUCAAUAUUUUUCUUUAAACAUUCUUUGUUUGUAACUAAUUUACUUCAACAUUCACUAUCUUUGUUACAACUUAAUAAUUUCUCUCACGUAUUCAGUUUUAGAGCCCUUGUUAAAGAUUUCACUUCAUAUCUUAGAUAGAUUAGUUCAUAUUUUCUAAACAUUUACGAGUUCGUAAACUGAAUUUAUUGUGGACUAAGUUCACUUCUUAUUCCCAACAUUCCAAUCUAACUUAAUAUAUCAAAUUUUAUUUUAUAGCCCUUUGUAGCUUUAGUAAGAAUGAUUCAAAUAUGAAAAACUUCAUUCAAACACACCAAGGUAAUGCACUUGAGGUGCCCCAGCCACACACAUCAAAGAUCUACAUAAAAAUUGCACUAUAAUUGCAUAUCCUCCAAACACACCAACAACACAAAUGUGCUAUGCCAUAAGGCAUCAAAACAUAACUCUACACACACAUACCCAUACAAGUUGCAUCUAAUUCCUAUGACAUGCUAAUCGUAUCUUAGCUAAUCUACCAAGCUCAUAAGAGAUUUCAUCUUAUUAAUCAAUUUGAUAUUUAAUAGUUCACAUAAUUACAUAUCAUAAAAUGUUAUCAUGGUUUCAAAAGGACACAACAAAUCUUAAAUUUUACACGCAUUACAUUUUGGUGCUUAUUGGCACCCAAUCAUCACCUAUACUCAUCCACAUGAUCACAUUGUCACUUAAGUGACCCAUAUCACCACACAAUGCUUCACAUGUUUACUUAUGUACUUACCAAAUCAAAUCAUUCCACAAAUGGCAUUAGUCAUUCUCUUUUCUUAAUUUACAUAAUUACUUAUUAGGUGACCAUGUCACCAUAUCACACACUUUUAUACAAUUUAUCAUUUGAUACUUCAAAUAUCAACAAAUUAAUUCACAAAUAAAUGCUUAUUAAGCGAUUCAAUUUUCAUAACACAUCACUACCCAUUUCCUUAAUUCUUUCUUUUCAAAAUAAGUCAUAUUUCAAAUUUCACGUCUACCUUAUUUUAAAAUGUCAUAUUAACACAUAUGUUCAUUUCCAAAAAAAAAAAAAAAGAACAUGCCAUAACACUUAAGUAUUCAAAUUCUAUUACAAAUUUUAUUGUCAUAUAUUCUAAGGAAAAUUUUAACUAAUAUUAUCAUUUUCUUCACAAUCAUCACAACACAUGAAAUCAUACUUACUCUUAUUCCAAUAUACAAUAAUUAUUUGGCCAUUUAUUAAACUAAUUACCAAUUUUCAUAAUCAUUUUAAUGAGGGAAGUUAGCAAAUCCAAGGGCACUUACCUCUUGGAUGAACUUAAACACAAAACUAAGCUUUCUAACACUUGAAUCCUCUUUUCCCUAGUAUGGAAGCUCACCUUCCAUCAUUUCUUAUUCUUUUUAUUAAAAGCUUUCUCUCCAUAACCCAAGUUUUUUGUCACUAGACCAUAUAAAACCUAAGCUUUUAUGGGGAGAUUGAUGAUGGAAGUAUGCUUAGAAGGUGAUUUCUCCUUGAUUUUGGUAAUAACUCAAAGUGGAUUGAAGAAAUUUGUGUUUAAUUUGAAGAAAAUGUGAGAAAAAUGGAAAGGAAAAACUCUUCCUUCAAGCUUAGGGAGGGUUUCCCUGAUAAUGGGAAGAAAAAUGGUGAAUUUUUCUCCUUUUUUUUAAUACAUUAAAACUUAUCAAGUUAAGGUCAAGUAAAAGUUCAACUUAAAACUCGUGGUCCACAUUAAAUCACCAUGCUUUCAUCACAUCCAAUGGCUCAAAAUUAAUCUAGAAAAAUAUAAUAUCUCUUCAAAUAAUAUUUUAAUAUAAAUUUUACAUAAAAUGACCAAAAGCCCAUAUAAGGAAAAUUUGUACUUCAGUUACUUUUUACCCAUUUAUCACACUUCACAUUAGACUUAACACUUAACAUAUUCAAAAUUUAUAAAUCAUACUUAUACUCUAAUAUUAAUUCAAAAAUGAUAAGAAUUACACUUUUCCCCCUUUUAUAGUAAAAAUGGUAAAAUUGUCAUUUGGUUCCUAUACUUUUCACUCUUAUUCAAUUUAGUCCAACAAUGGUUUUCAUCAUACUAAUACAGAUUUCAUUUCAUUCUCAUACCAAAUAAUCAUUAUUAACUCACAUUUUCUCUACCAGGUCAAAUUGCACUUUAGUCAUACUUUUUUAAAAUUUGUGAUUUGGUCAUUUUCCAACUUUUCACAUUCACAAUUGUGGCAUUGAUUUCCAUCUUCAAUGUCAAAUUUGUAACACCCCAAACCCGGCCUAGACGUUAUGGCCAAAUCUGUGAUGUCACAUUGGAGUGAUUUUUGAAAAGCGUAGUUUUAGUAGAAAAUUCCAUUUGUGUUAAAAUCUCAUUUGUGUUCUUUAAGAGAAGUUAACUUAUUUGUUCAUUUGUUAAUUUAUAGGUUUGAUUAUCAAAGCAUGAAUCACACUAAAUCGUUGUUACGCUUUGAAAACAUUGUUUGUUGCAGAAGCUUUUAAAACAAGUUGUGUAGCUUGGUAGUUGAAAAGCAUUUACUUUUUGGAAAACCCGUAUCUUACUGCUAAUAGUUAUAAGUCAAUUUAAAUAAGUUCCCAAAUGAAAAUAAAACUUAAAACAGCCUUAUUACAUAAAAUUUAUCCAAGUAAAACUACUUUUACCAAAAAUCCAAAACGAAACAUAAAUAGUGGUUUGGCCAUCUCCAAGUCCCUCGUAGCACCGACCCGCCUUAGGAUUACUUGCAUAGAUAGGCAGAAAAGGUGAGUUUAUGAAAACUCAGUGUGUAAACCAAAUUUAUCAAACAGUCAAACAUACAGUGCUGAACAGUCUGGGCUUAAGCCCAUAUUGAUAGCAAUAUCAGUGUGGGCCUUAGCCUAGUACAGUAACAGUAUUAGUGUGGGACUUAGCCAACUUCAGUAUAGUAUCCAAGAUGCAUACAAGGUCCUACCCAUCCAUCCUCUGCACUCCACUCCGUCCAACCUAACACUCCAUGUGGGGAUAAAAUCGACCCACCCAUCCCUACACUCCAGAAAAUAGUACGGUUGCGGCUCUAAUAGUAUUUGUAGCAGAGUUGCCAGUAAUAGGCUUGUAGCCAUUCAGUACACUUCCUCCAAUAUCAUAUGUCCCACCCCAUGCAAUGCAACAUAAUAUAAUAUACAUAUAUAAUUAAGAUGGCAUGCUCAACACUUAUAUAUCACAUAAGGGUAUUUCAGUCAUUUGCCUCAUAAGGGUAUAACGGUAAUAACACAAAUUAGGGUCUAGGUGUACUCAUCAACCCAAUGUAAGACCACAGUCAUCUCGUGUGACCCUUGCACCCUUAACAAUUUAAAUAGCGAUAAUGGGCCCAAGGCCAAAAUAUGGCCUAUGUGGGCCCACACACUUGUGUGGCCCAAUAAGCCCAAAUAAUGGCCUUGGCCGUGUAAACAACACAACCGACUCAAUAAUCUCUACACAUCUGUGCAGUUUACCCGUGUAGGGCCCAUGAGCCCGUAGGGCCGGCACGGCCCAUUUUGGCCCACUGUGGCCAAAAAUUGACUUAAGUCCACGAAAUCAUUCAUGGCGGCCUCUUUGAUCGAAUGCCUACGUUUCGUGCAUUCGCCUCACUGUACGAGUGUGCGUACGCUCGUGUAGUGUUAACAGUCGCACAUUUUCGGCGUUUGCCAAUCUAUGAUAAUAGUAGUGUGAUUACACACCUUUUUGCGAUAAGUGCGCCUAGGCCGAGCGUUCCCCAAACCUACAUUCAAUCAUGAUAUUUGUUAGUCAAUUUACACUAGGGUUAAUCACCCUUCUUAAUCCCAACUAUCGUAACACCCAAUACUUGCCUUAAUCAAAGGAUACUUGGCCCUGCAAGAACCGUUGAUGAAAGCUAGCUUACUCCCUUAAUUAAAUAACUGCAUUGACAACAACCCAUUAACAAUGACCAAAACAAAUGUCACGAGACUAAAAUACUUCCUAUUGAAAACAUAACCCAAAGAUAGGAGGAAAUAGGCAUUCAGCCAACCCAUUCCUAAACAAGUCACACAUCCUUUGAACCUCGUAAUUGAAAACAACAUUACCUUGUUUGAGUAAGGAGUGAAGGGUUUGACUGCUCAGUAAUCACUAGCAAUAUCUUCACUCUCCAAGAAACUAGAGCUCACAAGGAACACCACACCAAGGAAAAUGAAGGUAAGAAUCGGCAAGAGGGAAAAAGUAUUUGGAUUUGAGCAAUGCAAUAAGUACUUACCGACUUGUUUGAAGAAAAACACCAAGCCCAACCAAAAGGGAUGGAAAGUUCGGUCCCACAGGCAAAAUGGACUGGAACAACUUUGAUGAACAUGAGAGUCGAAAGAGGGAGAUGGUAAAUUCGAUCAAGGGGGAAAAAGAAAAGAAAGGUGAAGGAAGUAUGUGUAUUUGGUCAAGAGGGGUAGUGUUGAAGAGGUAGAAAGUAGAAACCACAACCCAAAGUGACACUAGAAGAUGAUGAAGAAAUCGACCAAAGUUCAAAAGAGAGAAAGAGAGAGUAAACAGGGUUCAGGCUAAACAAAGAGUACAAUCACGAGAAGGUCAGAAACAAAGAAUAGCGGUAGAUACUGAUUAACCAAUAGACAAAAGGGAGUUCCAAACUGCACCACAAGUGCGAAACAAAAGUACCCGAAGAAUACCAAACAAAAAUCGACCAGCCAACCAAAAAUGCAAAGGAGCCAAAAGAAAAGAAAUUCAAUUACACAUGAAAUGAAGAAAAGAACCCUACCCCACACUUCAGCCGAAUUCCCUUGUAUUUAGAGUCCUUGUACGACACCAACACACCCUUCACUUGCCUCCUCAAAUCUCUCCAACAACACAUUAUCCAUAUCCAUUCAAAACACCUAACUUUUCUCCCCACAACAUUCCUAUAUUUGGUUACAACUCCCCACUCCCCUCGCUACUUUCAACUGCCCAGCAGCAUCAGAAUCCUACUAACAAACAACCCCUGCACGACACCGUAGCAAAAAAAACACCUCUUGAGGGUAGAGAGACUCAAACCCGAGUCCUUUGCCAUAAGUAACAUGCCCCUAUCCUCUGGAUCAACACGCUUUUUAUAACAUAACCUCCCCUCAAUUUAAAUAAAAACCCAACAUCUAACAGCAAGGGUUUAAUUCAGUAAAAACCCAAAAAUUUUGCUAAGGCCCAGGUUUGAACCCAGGACUUCUCACACCUCUUAGGACACCCUUAACCAUCAAAGCAAGCAAGCCAUAUGCAACAGAACACACAAUUAGAUCAUUAACAAAUUUGGGGCGUUAUAACUCUACCCCCUAAAAGAAAAUUUCAGCCUUGAAAUUUACCUGAUCAGAACAAAUGAGGGUAUUAUUAUCGCAUCGCCUGCUAGAGUUCCCACGUGGCUUCGUCAGAACUAUGAUUAAGCCAUAGCACCUUAACCAAUGGAACUGACUUUUUCCUCAAAACUUUCACAUCACGGUCUAAAAUCUGUACCGACUAUUUCUCAAAGGUCAAAUCUGGUCUAACCUCAAUUUUCUUAGUCAAAACAAUGUGUGAAGGAUCAGAGCGACAUCGUCUCAACAUAGAGACGUGGAACAUAUCAUGAAUUUGAUCCAACUCUAGAGGUAACUCAAGUUGAUAGGCAACUGGUUCCAGACGUUUCAAUAUACGGUAAGGCCCAAUGAACCUAGCACUUAGCUUGCCUUUUCGACCAAACCUUAGUACCUUAUUCCACGGUGAGACCCUAAGAAACAACAAGUCCCCCAUAGAAUACUCAAUCUCCUUAGCUUCAGAUUCGCAUAUGACUUCUGCCUGUAUGAUGCCACCUUCAGUCGAUCUCGAAUCAAUCUAACUUUAUCCUCAGUAUCAGAAAUUAAUUCAGGACCCAGAACAAGUCGCUCGCCCAACUCCGUCUAACACGUAGGAGUACGACACCUACGAUCGUAUAAUACCUCGUAAAGUGCCAUCUGUAUGCUAUAUUGGUAGCUAUUGUUGUAUGCAAACUCAGCCAACGAAAAAUAAUCCUCCCAACUGCCCCGAAAAUCAAUCACACAACUCCUUAACAUAUCUUCCAGUAUUUGAAUCACCUUCUCUGACUGCCUGUCUGUUUGAGGAUGGAAUGCAGUACUGAAGUCCAACCUUGUACCCAAUGCUUCAAGUAACUUUUUGCAAAAUUGAAACGUGAAAAGAGGAUCCCUAUCAGAUAUUAUAGAAACCGGUACCCUAUGCAGUCUCACAAUUUCAGACACAUACAACUUAGCCAACUUCUGUAACGAGUAGCCUAUAUGAACGGGUAUAAAAUGGGUGGAUUUAUUCAGUCGACAAACAAUGACCCAUACUAAAUCCUUCUUAGUAGGAUUAAGGGCAGCCCAUUAACAAAGUCCAUUUUCACCCUCUCCUAUUUCCAAAGCAGAAUCUUGACCGGCCGAAGCAACCCUAAAGGCAAUUGAUGCUCCGCCUUAACCUGUUGGCAUGUUAGGCACUUACUCACAGAAUCAGCAAUUUCAUGCUUAAGCCCUAGCCACCAAUACAACUCUCGAAGAUCUUAGUACAUUUUAUUCCCCUCAGGAUGCAUAACAUAAGGACUAUUAUAUGCUUCUUGCAGUAUAGACUGUCUCAAAUAAGUAUCUUUCAAUAUAUAGACUUUCCCACGGUAACAAAGUAUCCCUUCGCUAUUCAGCCCAAAAUCUGAAGUUUCUCCAUUCUCAAUCUAUAAAAAAUGAGAGCCCGACGACUCAUCUUCCAAUUGCUUACCUUUAAUCUAUUCAAUCCACCUUGGUUUAAUUUAAAGUUCGGCUAGUAAACUACCAUCGUCAAAUAAACUAAGACGAGCAAACCUUUCCCUCAAGUCAGUAACAGGCCUACGGCUCAGUGCAUUGGCUACAACAUUAGCCUUACCAAGAUGGUAUUCAAUUGAACAGUCAUAAUUCUUAAGCAGUUCAAUCCAUCUAUGCUGCCUAAGGUUUAGCUCCUUUUGAGUGAGGAGAUACUUGAGGCUUUUGUGAUCUGUGUAAAUAAUACACUUCUCAUCAUAUAGGUAAUGCCUCCAAGUUUUCAGUACGAACACCACUGCGGCCAACUCCAAGUCAUGCGUCUUAAGCUGACGAGACGCAUAAGCCACUACCUUACCCCCUUGCAUCGACACACAUCCUAAACCAACAUGUGAUGAAUCGCUGUAGACAGUGAAUUCCUUUCAAGACUUUGGCUGUACAAGACAGGGGUCUCAGUUAGAACUUUCUUGAGUUUCUCAAAACUAUCUUGCUACUUAUCAGUCCAGUUAAUUGGUACUUCUUUACGCAACAACUUAGUCAGAGGUGCAGCAAUCAACAAAAACCCCUCAACAAAGCGUCUAUAAUACCCUGCCAAACCCAGAAAACUUUGAAUCUCAGAUACCAUUUUAGGCUGUUUCCAAUCCAGAACAGCCUCAAUUUUCCAAAGAUCAACCCUAAUCCCCUCUGCAGAUGCCACAUGACCCAAAAAAGUUACCUUCCAUAACUAGAAUUCACAUUUACUGAAUUUAGCGUAUAAUUGUUUCUCCCUCAAAAUCUGCAGAACAACACGGAGAUGUGCAUCAUGAUCCUCCUCUGUCAUCAAAUACACCAGAAUGUCAUUUAUAAACACCACUAUGAACUGGUCCAGAUAGGGCUGGAACACUCAGUUCAUCAGACUCAUAAAAGCUGCUAGUGCAUUCGUCAGUCCAAACGGCAUCACUAGAAACUUGUAAUGACUGUAACGAGUCCUAAAGGCUGUCUUGUAAACAUACGAUGUAACGCCCUGAUUUUAGAGAUUUUUUGGGUUUUUGUGAUUUUUGGUAAAUUUUGAAAUUUCGGUGUUCUGAAUAUUGGAAUUGUGUUUAAAUGUGUUAGUGGGCCUUUAGAAGGCCCAAGCCUAAGUUAAACACGGUAAAAUAUCAAGGUUGGAUUUUAAGUGAAUAGGGGACUUAGUUAAGUGGGCUUUUAAGAAGAACUUCGUAAAUUAAAGGUGGCAAGGUGGCAAGGUGGCACCACUAGGUUCCUAAAAAAAUGACAUCUGGGAAGGAAUUAAAGGUCCAGGGUUCAAGUUGCAAGGUAAGCAUAUUGUUACUUUUUAAUUUUAGGCAUGUGCCGGGCAUGUGAUCACUUAAGUGAAUUUCGGCAAGGGCCUUAGGAAGGUUGGGCUGAUUGUUUUAGUUGAUAUUAGGGCUAGGUUCAUUUCUUUUUCUAUCUUAGAGAAUUAGGGAUAGCCACCUAAAAGCUUUCACCGUCAUUCAUCCUUUCUGAGUUCUCACAAAAGCCGAAAACGCAAAUUCCUUCUCCUUGGUGCCGAUUUCUUCUUCCUCUCUUUUUCCUCUAUUUUUUCUUCCUUUUUGCUUUUUCUUCUAGCCGAAACCUUCUGAUCACCUUAAUCACCUCCUCUGUCAAUCCCAUCCUCCACAAAACCUCCAUAGCCGAUUGCCAUAAAAGCCAAAAUCCCGAAAACUCACUUAUUGUGCCGAUUUCUCCAAGCCAAAAUCCUUCAGUUAUUUUUGUUCUUUUUGAUCAAAUUUCAUCUUCUCUAAACCCUUAGUAUCUGUCGGCAACAUUACUUCAAAGUUAUAACCUCAAAUCGACAUCUUCUUCAUCACUUAAAAAGCCGAAAUACCAUAGAUUUAGGGACUUAUAGCUGAAACUUCAGAUCUCCUAGAUUCGAGUUCUACUAUCAUUUAGAGGAUAGAUCUACAUCAGAUCUACAAAGAAAUCAAAGAGGAAUAAGUGGUAAGUGCUCAUCACCUCAGAUCUAGUCUUAUUUUACAAUUUAGAAAAGCCGAAGUCCCUAAAAUCUAGGGAGGCUGUCUAUUUAGGCAUAGAGCUUUAAGAGUCUUUAACCGAUGAUUUCUUUUGGUGAUUAGUGUCUUCUAGAGGUUUGAUCAAAGGCUUGGAUCUUUGGAACAACUAGACUUAGAUCUAGUCAUCGAUUUUCGGCAAAAAGGUAAGAUUCGAAAGGCUUUAGGGCAUGGUUUGAAUAUGGGUUGCUGAAUAUUGGGAUUGGUUGUUGUGGGUUGCAAUAUAAGAAUUGUGGUAAUCAAUUGUAAGACAUCGUAAGGGAUCUCAGUAGCAGUCAUCGCGAAAUAGGUGUGUAUCGAACACCCCUUCAUAGUUCAAUUCGGCAAAAGCCGAAAUGCCAAAAUUUUGGCAUUUCGUGGGCUUGUGAGUGUGCGAGUGCUCACAAGACGUUUAGAAAUCAUUAGAUCUGAAAUCGCAAGUGGUAAGUUAGUCGUGUGUGAAGUUUUGUGCACUUCGGUAAUAGGGCCUCAAUAGGCUAAAACUGGGCCCAAUGGGCUUACGGGCCCAUACGGGUAAAUAAUAAAAAUAUUUAUAAUAUAAAAAAAGGCAAUAAGUAUGUUCUGUUAGACCAUAGAAUCGAAACUGCUUAAACCGGUAAACUAGUCAUAAAACUUGAAGUAAAUGGGCUUAAAUGGCUAAUGGACACUGUAGGGCCCAUUAGGGGUUUUAGGGCCCAAUGGCUAAAAUUGGGAAAUUGAGAUAAAUAAAUUACUACGAUGAAAAAUGGGCUAGUAAGGACCGUAACAUUCAUGAGAACCCUUAAGACUGAUAAAAUUACUGAAAUACCUUUAUAGGUGGAAAGUUUACAGUUUUACUCCAAUGAGCAAAAUUACUGAUAUACCCCUAGGGUUAAGGUUGACCUGAAUGCAUGUUUGACUGUUACUAUUUACCGCAUGCCAUGUCAUUAUUAUCUGAUGCAUGGGACUGGGUUAUUGAUGGAGGAAGUACUGAAAGUGGCUUGACCACGUAUUGGAGGCUUUCCCUCAACUUACUGAUAUCUGAGCAGCUAUGCUGCAACUGUGGAGUGUAGGGCUGGGUGGGUUGAGCUAUUCCCCACAUGGAGUGGAGGGUUGGUACGGGUGGAGUGUAGCGGUUGGUUAUAGGCUGGGUUGGGCUUGCAUACACGAAUAUGUCUGUUUUGUUCUGGAAUGGGCCUACAGGCCAUACUGUUAUCUGAAAAAGGGCUAAGGCCCAGUUUAUCGUAUUCUGAAAAGGGCUUCGGCUCAGUACCCGUGGUUAUCUGAAUAGGGCUUAGGCCCAAUGGGCUUUAGCUGACUUGGGCUUUGGAUGGGUUUUUCAUAUACACUGAGUUUUCCAAACUCACCCCCUUUCUCUUCCAUCCUUGUAGGUGAGCCCUAAUUGGUGGACUUGGAGCUUGGCGGGAUUCAGAGUGGCCACGAAGAUUAAAUUGCUGGUUUUAAAUAAGUUUCAAGUAGCUUCCUUUUUAAUUUUCGCAUUUAUUUUUGAUUAUUUCUAUUUUGGUUAAAGUUGUAAUAAGGCCGUUCUAUUAUUUUUAUUUUGGGUUUUUAAAUUACUUAAAUCAUUUUCGACUUGAGAUUAACAUCACUUAGAUUGAUUCCUUGAAAUUGGUUAACUCUGGGUUUAUCAAAAAUUACUUGUUUCAAACCGACAUGACCACCAAACGUCUUUGAAAUGAAGCUCUUCAAAGUACAACAAAAGUCACGUUUUUUCUAAACCCUUAACAAUCGAUGAUGGAUAGGACUCACACUAGUGAAUCGGAACAUUUCUCUUAAAACUUCAUUAAUGGUUUUUGCAAAGCUCACCCAAACUUUAGUAAACUAGGUAACUUGGUUAGUGGUAGGUAAUGUGACACACUGGAUUCAGCCGUAACGUCUAGGCCGGGUUUGUGGUGUUACAUCUGACUCCUUGACCCUUAGUUGAUGGUACCCCGAUCAGAGAUCAAUCUUAUAGAAGACCGAAGCUCCUAGAAACUGGUCGAAUAUAUCGUCAAUCCUCGUAGGGGUACUUAUUCUUGAUAGUCAAUUUGUUCAGUUGCCGAUAGUCAAUGCACAUACGCAUGGUUCAUCCUUCUUCUUAACAAAUAAAACCAAUGCUCCCCACGGAGACACACUAGGACAAAUAAACCCUCGAUCCAGUAACUUUGAAUCUGCGCUUUAAGCUCCUCAAGCUCCUUCGUUGCCAUUCUAUAAGGGGCGAUGGACACUGGAGCUAUACCAAGCAAGAGCUCUACCCGAACUUAACUUCAUGGUUAGGAGGUAACCCUGGUAACUCAUUAGAAAAGACAUCUGAAAAAUCCUUAGCUGUUCUGAUAUCUUUCACAGAUGAAAUCCCAAAACUUGAGGCACUAAUGUAGGCUACAUAUGCCUCACAACCCUUACGCACCAUCUUCUCGGCUUUAAGUGCAGAAAUCAUAUUUGACAGAUAAUUUUGAUGCUCCCUAAUAACAAUUACCUCUUCACCCUUUUCAGCUUUCAGUAUCAUCCGCGUCACAGCACAAUCCAAAUUUGCCUGAUGCUUAACCAGCUAGUCCAUACCUAAUAUUAUAUCAAAUUCCCCAAAAGGAAGUUCCAUUAAGUCUGCUAGAAAGAUCAUUACUUGAACCUCAAAAGAUAUAUCCUUAAACAAUUUGUUCACUCUCAUUGACUGUCCUAAUGGACUCAACACGGUAACCUUACUUGAAGUGUUGUCAACCAUUAUACCCAAAGUCUUAGAUACAGUGCAUGCUAUAUAAAAGUGUGUAGAUCCAACAUCAAUCAAUGCAGUAUAGGGUAUAUUAUGAAUAAAUAACGUACUUGUAAUAACAUCUGGGGCAUCUCUGUCCUCUCGACGAUGUGCAGCGUAAACCAGAGUCGGCUGCCUCACCUCAACAUGAUCAGCACCUCUGCCCACUACUCCAUGACCCCGACACAUACCAUUUCCAUCUCUGGUCUGACCACGACCUCUUGGUGGCUGCUGAAAACCUCUCUGCGACUGGACAGUACCCCUACUAGUAGCUUGCAUCUGAUCGAGCUUCCGUGCACAAUCCCUGAUACAGUGCUCCAUAGAUCUGUACCUCAAACAUGCCCCUAUCCAAACCCAGCACUCACCCUGAUGGCGUUUCCCACAAACAGUACAAGGCUACAACCCAAAAGUAGCAAUAGUGGGCCUAACUCUGACUGGCCCAUCAACUCUGGCCUUCUUUUAGGCCUCAAAGCUGAACUUGAGGGCUCGCAAACCCCCUUGUUCCUUCCCCUGUCCGCCUCACAAUUCUGGUGCUCAGCGUUUCAUAUCCUCGGCGAUCUUUGCCUUUUCCACUAAUACAGAAAAAUCUCGCUCCCUCUGAGGAGCUAUCAAAACUCAUAGAUUAUCUCUGAGAUCGUCCCCAAAACACACAUAGCGCUCAUACUCAGUUGCUACCAUGCCUCGUGCAGAGCGGCUUAAUCGCAAAAAUUGCGCCUCAAAUUCAGCCAUGGACUUAAGCCCCUGGGUCAAAUUCAGAAACUCCAUUCUACGGGCAUCCGCAUAGCUAGCGUCCACAUAUUUCCCUUGGAAUGAAUUCUUGAAAAACUCCCAAGUUAAUCGAUUAGGCUAAGUACCCUCUUCCACAGUAAACCACUAUUAAUAGACUUCAUCUCUCAAUAACGACACUGCACUUUUUAGUUUAUGCUCUGGGGUGCAGUCGAGGUCAUCUAUGAUCAUCUCUGUGACCUCUAUCCAAUAUUCAGCCACAUUAGGGGCAACUCCAUUGAUACCCCUAAAGAUCUCAGCCCCAUUAGACCUGAGUCGCUCUGUUACCAACCCACGACCCACAGUACCAGUAUUGGGCCCAGCGAUCCUUUUUAGAAUUCGUAGAAUAGCUUGAGAAAGUGUGUUAUCCCCAAUUACCCGAUCAUGUGACCUAGUUUUAGUCAAAAGCCGGUGCCUCUCUUGCCUCAACAUUAGGCAUAUGGUCUGAUGCAGAAGACCCAAUCGAGCACCUCCACAGCCUCCGUCGCGGCCUCUUGUACUGCUUCUACGAGUACCUCUGGUGCUCAUUAUCGAUUUACUUAUUAUCUGUAUUAACAAUUUUAUGCAUCAGUUUUAUAGUGCCAGUGUUUAUUAACGGAUGUUUUAUGAAAAAUAGCAUCAAUAAUUCGAAGUUGUUUGUUUUCGCAGAUUGUAAUCUUACUACUGUUUAAGGUUCCCCUAAUAAAGGUUUCAAUACAAUCCAUUAUCUAUGGUAUUCUCAGUAUUUUAAUUAAAGCAAACAACAGUUUUAGAGAACUUACAGAAUCGACACCGGAGAGUCAGUAGACCACACAUCCGGAAACAACACCUCAAAAUAUUUUUCCAUGAUUUGAAACACUUUAAUUUGGAGCUUUUGUUUUUAGGAAAAACCCAAAUCCACAGCUGAGUUUUACAGCCUGGCUCUGAUACCACUAAAUGUAACACCCCAAACUCAGCCUAGACGUUGUGGCCUAAUCUAUGAUGUCAUAUUGGAGUGAUUUUUGAAAAGCGUAGUUUUACUGAAAAAGUCUAUUUAAGUUAAAACCUCAUUUGUGUUAUUUAAGAGAAGUUAACUUAUUUGUUCAUUUGUUAAUUUAUAGGUUUGCUUAUCAAAGCAUGACUCACACUAAAUCAUUGUUACGCUUUGAAAACAUUGUUCGUUGCGGAAGCUUUUAAAACAAGUUGUAUAGCUUGGUAGUUGAAAGUCAUUUACUUUUUGGAAAACCUGUGUCUUACUGCUAAUAGUUAUAAGUCAAUUUAAAUAAGUUCCCAAAUGAAAAUAAAACUUAAAACGGCCUUAUUACAUAAAAUUUACCCAAGUAAAACUACUUUUACCAAAAAUCCAAAACAAAACAUGAACAAUGGUAUGGCCAUCUCUGAGUCCCUCACAGCACCGACCUGCCUAAGGAUUACUUGCACAGAUAGGAAGAAGAGAUGAGUUAUAAAAACUCAGUGUGUAAACCAAAUUUAUCAAAUAGUCAAACAUACAGUGCUGAACAAUCUGGGCCUAAGCCAAUAUCGAUCGCAAUAUCAGUGUGGGCCUUAGCCCAAUGUAGUAACAGUAUCAGUGUGGGCCUUAGCCCACUUCAGUAUAGUAUCCAAGAUGCAUAGAAGGUCCUACCCAUCCAUCCUCUACACUCCACUCCGUUCAACCCUACACUCCAUGUGGGGAUAAAAUCGACCCACUCAUCUCUACACUCUAGAAAAUAGUACCGGUUGCGGCACUAAUAGUAUUUGCAGUAGAGCUACCAAUAAUAGGCUUGUAGCCAUUCAGUACACUUCCUCCAAUAUCAUAUGUCCCACCCCAUGCAAUGCAACAUAAUAUAAUGUACAUAUAUAAUUAAGAUGGCAUGCUCAACACUCAUAUAUCACAUAGGGGUAUUUUAGUCAUUUAUCUCAUAGGGGUACAAUAGUCAUAACAAAAAUUAGGGUCUAGAUGUACUCAAUGACCCAACAAUAGGUCCACAGUCAUCUCAUGCGACCUAUGCACCCUUAACAAUUUAAACAGCGAUAAUAGGCCCAAGCCCAUAAUAUGGCCUACGUGGGCCCACACACUCAUGUGGUCCAAUAAGCCCAAAUAAUGGCCUUGGCCAUGUAAACAACACAGUCGACUCAAUAAUCUCCACACAUCUGUGCAGUUUACCAUGUGGAGCCUACGAGCCCGUAGGGCCGGCACGGCCCAUUUCGGCCCACCAUGGCCAAAAAUCGACCUAAGCCCACGAAACCAAUCAUGGCGGCCUCUUUGAUCGAAUGCCUAUGUUUCGUGCAUUCGCCUCACUGCACGAGUGUGCGUACGCUCAUGUAGUGUUAACAGUCACACAUUUUCGGCUUUUGCUAAUCUAUGAUAAUAGUAGUGUGAUUACACACCUUUUUGCGAUAAGUGCUCCUAGGCCGAGCGUUCCCCAAGCAUACAUUCAAUCACGAUAUCUGUUAUUCAAUUUACACUAGGGUUAAUCACCCUUCUUAAUCCCAGCUAUCGUAGCACCCAAUACUUGCCUUAAUCAAAGGAUCAUUAGCCCUGUAAGAACCGCUGACGAAAGCUGGCUUACUCUAUUAAUCGAAUAACUGCUUUACAACAACCCAUUAACGAUGACCAAAACACAUGUCACGAGACUAAAAUAUAGCCUAUUGAAAACAUAACCCAAAGAUAAGAGGAAAUAGGCAUUCAGACAACCCCUUCCUAAACAAGUCACGCAUAUUUUGAACCCCAUAAUCGAAAAAAAACAUUACCUCAUUUGAGUAAGGAGUGAAGGGUUUGGCUGCUCGGUAAUCACUAGCAAUAUCUUCACUCUCCAAGAAACUCUUGAGCUCGCAAGGAACACAACACCAAGAAAAAGGAGGGUAAGAAUCGGUAAGAAGGAAAAAGUAUUUAGCUUUGAGCAGUGCAAUAAGUACUUACCGGCUUGUUUGAAGAACAAUACCAACCGCAACCAAAAGGGAUGGAAAGUUCGAUCCCACAGGCCAAAUGGACCGGAACAACUUCGAUGAACAUGAGAGUCGAAAGAGGGAGAUGAUAAAUUUGAUCAAGGGGAAAAAGAAAAGAAAGGUAAAGGAAGUGUGCGUAUUCGGUCAAGAGGGGUAGCAUUGAAGAGGAAAAGAGUAGAAACCACAAUCGAAAGUGACACUAGAAGAUGAUGAAGAAAUCGACCAGAGUUCAAAAGAGAGAGAGAGAGAGUAAACGGGGUUCGGCCUAAACAAAGAGUACAAUCAUGAGAGGGUCAGAAAGAAAGAACAGCGAUAGAUGCUGAUUAACCAAUAUACAAAAGGGAGUUCCAAACUGCACCACAAGUGCGAAAGAAAAGUACCCGAAGAACACCAUACAAAAAUCGGCCAGCCAACCAAAAAUGUAAAGGAGCCAAAAGAAAAGAAAUUUGGUUACAAACGAAAUGAAAAAAAGAACCCUACCCCACACUCUAGUCGAAUUCCCUUGUGUUUAGAGUCCUUGUACGACACCAACACACCCAUCACUUGCCUCCUCAAAUCUCUCCAACAACACACUAUCCAUAUCCAUUCAAAACACCUAACUUUUCUCCCCCCCAACACUCCUAGAAUUCGACGACAACUCCCUACUCCCCUCAAUACUCUCAACCACCCAACAGCAUAAGAAUCCUACAACACACAACCCCUGCAUGACACCGUAGCAAAAAAACACCCCUUGAGCGCAGAGAGACUCGAACCCGAGUCUCUUGCCAUAAGUAACACGCCCCUAUCCUCUAGAUCAACACGCUUUUUAUAACAUAACCUCCCCUCAAUUUAAAUAAAGACCCAACAUCUAACAGUAAGGGUUUAAUUCAGUAAAAACCCAAAAAUUUUUCUAAGGCUGACUUCUCACACCUCUUGGGACAUCCUUAACCAUCAAAGCAAGCAAGCCACAUGCAACAGAACACACAAUUAAAUCACUAAAAAAUUUUGGGCGUUACAAAAUUAUUGUUUUUGAUUUGUCUUUAGCUUACACAUUUAUGAAAUUCCUCAAUUCUUCUUUGUAUCCAUUUUUGAAAUAGUACGAGAUGUCGUAUUCAUAAUUUUGAGUAUGCUGCACAUGUAAAAAAUUGAUUUUCUUCAAUGUCAAAAAAUUCAAUUUUGAGCCAGAUUUAUUAACUCGAGCUAUUCUGGAAAGUCAAACAAGAGGUAAUUAAGAGGUUUAAUUAGAGAGUUUAGGAAUUAAGGCUUUUAGACUAGAUUGUAAGGUUACUAAAAUUGGAGGGGUUAAUGCAUGAGUAUUAGAAAGUUUUGUUUAGAACAUUAGAUCUCCUUUUUUUGUAAAUAUUCCAAGCCUGUAACACCCCAAACCCGUCCUGGACGUUAUAGCCAAAUCUGGUGAUGUCACAAUGAAGUGUUUUUCGCAAAAUACAAUAUUGUAAAACCCAUUCUCAACGUAUCCUCUUUGUGUGUUCUUAUAGAGGUUCAUUUAGUUUAAAACUCAAGUCGUUUAUCAAAAUGCUAAUCAUAUUAAAAUUGUUAUUACUUUUUAAAACAUUUUUUGUUGCGAAAGCUUUUAAAAUAUGUCACGUAAACGUAGUGUUUUGGGAAAAACAUUUAUCUUUUUGAAAACACGUGUCAUUUCCUACUGGUAGUAGUUAUAAACCCAAGAAAAUAAAGAAAAACCCAAAUUUUGUUAAUGUCCAUAGAGGCUUUAUUACAUAAACAAAUACCCAAAUUAAAUUACUUAUAAAUUAAAAAUCAAUAAGAAAGCAAGUGCAGUUGUGUGGCCACCAUUGAGUCCCUUGCAGCACUGAUCUUCCUAAGGCUAGGGAUUACCUGUACAGUUAAACAGAUGGGGGAGUUUACUAAAACUCAGUGCGUAAUCCCAUAUAAGCAACCAGUCAAAAAGCAAGCACAGUCUGGGCCUAAGCCCUUUUUAGUAACAGUGACAAUAUCAGUUUGGGCUUUAGCCCAUCUCAAUAUAGAAACAGUCAUGUGUUCAGCCCUGGCCUAUUGCAAUAACAGUAAACAAUGCAGUAAAAGUAACAAUGCAGUAACAGUAAACAGUGCAGUAACAGUAAACAGUGCAGUAGCAGUAAAUAGUAUGCAAGUCCUACCCAUCCAGCCUCUACACUCCAUCUCCGUCCAACCCUACACUCUAUGUGGGGAUAAAAUUAACCCACCCAUCCCUACACUCCAUGUAGCACUGGUUGCAGCACUAAGCAGUAUUUAUAGCAGAGUUGCCAGUAUAAUAGGCUUAGAACCAUCAGUGAUUUGUAGUAGAGCUGCCAAUACAGUACACUUCCUCUAAUCAUAUAAAAACCCAUCCCCAUGCAAUGCAUCAUACAACAUGUCAGAAUAUUAUACAUGUAUUCAAUACAGUUACAAUAGCAUGCUAAAAUAUAAACAUACAUCACAUAGGGGUAAAAUAAUCAUCUUACCAUAAAAGGGAAAAAUAGUCAUUUUACCACAUAAGGGCAAAACAAUUAUUUUACCUCAUAAGGGCAAAAGAGUCAUUUUACCUCAUAAGGGCAAAACAGUUAUUUUACCUCAUAAGGGCAAAACAGUCAUUUUAUCCCAUAAAGGCAAAAUAGUCAUUUUAUCGAUUAAGGGUCCAGGUACACUUAUCGACCUAAAAGAAGGUCCACAAUCGUCUCGGGUGACCUGUGCAACCUUAACAGUCAAACGGCGAAAAUGGACUAAGGCACAUAUUGUGGGCCCAUGUGGGCCCACACGCAUGUGUAGCCCUCAUAGCCCAGAAAUGGCCUUGGCCAUGUAGAUUACAUAGCCUAACACAAUAUUCUCCACACGUUCGUAUGGUUUACCCAUAUGGGGCCCACAUGUCCGUAGGGCCCACACGACCUAUUUUUGUAACACCUCCUAACCCUGAACCGUCACCGGAACAGGGUUACAAGGCAUUACCGGACAAAUCAGACAACUUAAGAAUAAUUCAGAAAUAAAAUAACAUUCAUAGUAUAAUUUAAUAACUAAGUCCCUAUAAUGAACUCUUGAAGUCUAAAACAUGUAUUAAAAGUGAAACGGGACACGUUCAAGUACUCUGGAAUUUUUUUUUUAUAAAUUUUGACAGUAUUUCUACUUAUUUUUACAUAAAACCCCCUGCAAAUUAAACCGUAUCCAUUUCGAACAUAACCAAUUCAACCAAAUUAUUUCACAUACUCAUUUUCUAUUCUAAAUACCUUCUAAUCAAACUCAAUCAAUGUAAUACCAAUUUAAAUUUAUCAACGUACUAAUUAAAUUGAAAUGGAUAAACUUUUUUUUUCAUUAUAAUUCUUAGACUUGUAGUACUAACAUUUUUAACCAUUUAUAUUCAAAACAUAAUAACCUUUAUACACAUCCUAUGUACAUGCCACAUUACCAAAAGAAAAUAUACAUCACCAAAAGUUUGCUGAAGUCGGGUCUGGCUUUGGAUGCUGGUUCAGUACUUGACUUCUACAACCUGCGCACGGAAACAACCGUACGUUGAGUAUGCAUAUACUCAGUGGUAUCACUAUAAUUCAAUUUAUAAUUAAAUACAUUUAAUCAUACACAUACUUUUACAUUACAAUUAUCAUCACUUAAUGAACAAUUCAAUCUUUUUAUGUUAUCAUUUGAAUAUAUAUAUACCAUUCUUAUUUCUUUAUUUCAAUUCUCACCUUUCACAUAUGCCAUAUCAUUCAAAUUUAGUUUUAUCAAUAAAUUUAUUUCAUUUAUCCCUAUUAACUUGACUCGGACUCGGCGAAUACACGGAUUCCAACCAACACGCUAGUACGGCACAUUGUUCCUUAACGGUACACAGUACCUAAACAGUAAUCAGUAACGGUAGCAGUAAUAGUAACAAUAUUCAACACACAAAGUGCUAAAUCUGUAACAGUAAUGGUAACAGUAUCGACACACAAAGUGUCAAAUCAGUAACAGUAGCAGUAACAGCAACAAUAGUCGGCACAUAAGUGCCUGAUCAGUAAGCCGGAAAAAACCCGUACUCUUCCAUAUCCUAUGGCAUGCCAACUAUAUCUGACUAGCUCGACUAGUUAAUAGGGUAUUUAAUUCAAUUUUGAAUACAAUUUGCAUCUAAGUUCGGUAUCAAAUAUAAUUUCUUAUUUCAAUCAGUUUCACAGUAUUGCAGUAAUUCAUUACUUCAGUAAUUUCACCGUUCAAUGCAGUAUACAUAACAAUAUUCAGUAACUUCACAAUUCAAUUCAGUACUCAAAACAAUAUUUAGUAUUCCAUAAUUCAGUUCAGUAUCAGUCUCAAUUUCAAUGCCUAAUCAUAAAUUUAUCAUUUUACUAAACACUUACCUUAAAUACUUACCAUACAUAAUUAUUAAAUUAAACACAUAAUAAUGAUAAAGUUUCAAUUAUAGUGAUACAAACCAGAAUUCUCUUCGAAUUUAAUCCUCGACAAUAUUUUCUUUUCCUUUUUGGGCCGAUGUUUCAGGCUCGAUAUUAGCAAUUAAACUUCAAGCUUUAAAACCUAAUUUUCCCUUUAUUUUUUCUUUCCUUUUUCUUUCCCACUUUCGAAUGGCUUUCUCUAUUUCUAUUCUGUUUCUUUUUUUUUGUUUUGUUUUGUUAUUUAUUUAUUUAUACUUUCGUGCUUUAUUUUAUAUUUAUAUUUAAGUUAAUUUAAUAAUUAUAAAAUAUCUAUUUAAUAACAAUAUAAUUAAUACAUUUGUAUACAUGUAUCUUUGUACAUUUGUACACUAUUAUUAGUAUCCAUUUGUCUUUCUUUUAUUUAUUUGACAAAUAAAAAUCUUAUAAUAUCAAUAUUUAAUUAAUAAAUAUCUUUAACUUAAAAUUUAAGUAAAUGCAUAAUUAUAAUUCAAAUGUAUAUAUUCAUAUUAUUACAAAUGUCAUUAUCUAAUUUGUUUUUCAUACCAAAAAUCUUAUAAUUUUAAUUAUUUAUCUAAUAAAUAUCUUUAACUUAUUAAUAAUAAAUAUCUACUUAAUAAAUAAUACUUUUAUUACAAUAGUAUUAUACAUAUUAUUACACAUGCAUCAUCUCAUGAUCCUAUAUUUGUCAACUUAUUAAUUUAUUCACUAAUAUAAUAUCAAUUAAAUAAUAAAAAUCAAUAGAUAUCUUUUACUUGUUAUUUAAGAAAAUAAACAAAUAUAUUACAAGUAUAUUUUCUUGUAUUUUACACAUAUAUUUAAUUGUAACCAUACAAUUGGCAUGUUUUGGUUUAUUUACUUAUUUAAGUUAUAAAUUAAUAAUACUAUAAAUUAACAUAACAUAACAUAAUAUAUAUAUUUAUAUAUAAAUAAUUAAAACAAGAAUCUUAGAUUUUAAUGCAUACAUGCCGCCUCAUUUCAUAUAAAUGGCUUAAUUUCCAUUUUAGACCUUUUUAUUUUUCUAUUACUCUAUAAUUCAAAUUUUACCCCUUAUUCAAUUUAGUCCUUUUUACUAAUUACUCUAAAUUGAGCUAAUUUCACUUAAUUAAAACAUAAUUAAACACACUACUAGACUUAUAAUUAUUCCUAAUAAUUAUUUAUGAACCCAUUUCACUAAGACGGAGGCCUGAUAACACACUUUUUUGGUGCUUACGAAUUUUGGGUCGUUACAAUUUCAACCCAACUUGGCCCAAAAUGGCCUAAGCCCAUGAAAUCGCUCAUGGUGGCCUCUACGAUCAAAGGCUCAUGUUUAUGCAUUCGGAUUAACACACGAGCAAGGGCACGCUCGUGUAGCAUCGACAGUCACUUAUUUUGGCUUUUGUCAAUUUACAAGUAGGGCAGUGUUUUUACACACCUCAAAUUUAUUUGUUGAGAAACUACCCCGAGCCUUUGCAACCUACACUUGAUCGAAUAACAUCAAUUAUUUAAUUAUCCAAAUACACAAUUGAGAACACACUCUAGUUACCCAAACACUAAAUGGCAAUAUUACCUUAAAAGUAGUUAAUGCGAAAGGUUUCGUCUUCUUAAUGCCUAACAAUGGCUUCCACACCAAAAAUAGAUCCUAGACACCAACCAACAUCAGUUAAGUGUUUGAAGCAGCAACAUACCAGAAAAUUAGGCCAAGGGAGAACAAAGUGGAACCCUUGUUCACUACACCAUGAGAGUAGUAAAAGAAACAAACUGAAAAGAAACAAAAAUGUAUAUUCGAAAUACAAACCUCACAAGAUUUUGGCAAAGGGAAGAUAGGAGAAUAAGAUUAGUCGACAGACAAUUACAAGAAACCAAAGUGGAGAACGUUUGCUCACUAUACCAAAAGAGCAGAAGAAACCAAAUAAAUAUUCGGUAUUGAGGGAGGAAGAAAUGUUAGCUGUAGAAAAGAGGUAAAACCAAAAGAAUAAUGUCCUAGCCAAAACACAGACCAUAGAGAUUUCAGCCAAAAAGGGGAAACAAAAAGAUGGACGGCAACUAGAGAGGCAGAGAGAGAAAAGAAAAUCAUCAAAAACAAAAUUGGGGAAAAAUAUGAGAGAAAUCGAAUUUGAUUAUGCUCACAAAAAAAAAUCAAAUAACUCUUCCAUUAUUCUCUCCUAAUUCGACGACUAAAUCCCCACACUUCAAAAUCCCUUAAUUCUCUUCUAAAAUCCUUCUAAUUGAACACUAUCCACAUCCCAACAUUCCCUCCUACAAUCCCUCUAUGACUAGUUCAAACUCCAACUCAAAUAACUCAUUUUUUCUAUGAUUCUGCGAUCUGGCUUGUUGUAACAAAAAAAUCUUGUUAUUGCAUUGAAUCAACAAUCAGAAGCGGAAGAAGUCCUAUUUCCGUUCCUAUGAUAUAGAAUCAAAAUAUUAUUUCUAUUCUUUUUCUUUCUUCCUAUUUCUUUUUAUUUCCAUUUAUUUUUUAUUUUACUAGAAUAACUAGAAUAAAUAAAUAAAAAACUAUGGAUUUUUGCACAAUCCAUUUUUAUGUUAUUUAUGUUAUGACUAAGUCCUUUUGUCGAAUCCUGUCUAUCAAAAAUCCUAUAACACAAGUCUUCUGACAAAAGGUGGCAAGGCCCUAAUUUUCAGGAUUUUUUAGGCUCCUAUCUUGUAAUCCUAUCUUGAUUACGCCCAAUUCCCCUGUUUGACAAAGGGUCCCUUUAUAUUUAUAUAC